CAGUGCUGAUUAGAUAAACUGCAUCAAGAAGAAAAAUGGUAUGUACAUAUCAUCAUCUCUUAUGUAUAAUAAUUAAAAAUAUGAAAUAAUAAAAUGAUAUUAAAAAUUUAGUUUAUCUAGAAAAAUAUUCAAAAUUCUUAUUUUUUUAUAUUUUAAUUAUAAUUUUUAUGGUAAUUGAAGAUAUAUUCUUCUAUUCUGUUAUUUUAUCAAUAUUAUAUCAAUCUCUAACUCUAUGGGUGAAAAAGAAAAGAAAAAAGAAUGUAAAAAUUAUUAUUUUAUAGAAAUAAAUACCUCACGUGAUGUUGGCUCCUAUUAUUUUGGGAUCAAUUUAUAAUGUGGAUGGAGGGAAUGUGGCGCACUUUAUAGAAAUCCUCUCCUUCUCUUCCAUCUAUCACUUUAAUCCUUUCUUCCAAUGACGAAGGCAUUAGCCUUAAAUUCGAUUCUUCGAGAGUAGUAAUGUACCUCAAUCCUUCUGGAAGCAUCCUUAAACUCUCAACCUUGACCAACUCCAAUUCUCGAAGGCAUGGCAUUGCACCUUCUUCUAUUUCCCACUCCUCCAACUCAAAUAACGAAGACAUUUGAAGAUAAUCAAGUUUAGGAAAUCCAUUUUCAGAGCACACCAUUUUACUCCCAAUAUAUGCUCUUUUCAAAUGGAGAAUCCUCAAAUGACAUAGCUUUUCUAAUACCGCCAUUGGAUCUUGGCUCAGCUCACAGUCAACCAAAGUUAAUUUGACAAUAUUUGAUGGAAGAAAUUUCAAAACAUGACCGUUCGGAUGUGGCUCAUCUUUUAUCGGACCCAGUAAUUUCAGUUUGGAGAGGUGAUAAUAUUGAGAAAGGGGUUCUAAGUCUAGGUGUGAGCCAUCAGAAAAACGUAAGGACACUGACCUAAGGCGUUGCAAUUUGGCUAGCAAGAUUAGGGUAGGCUUCACAUAUUCUGCUCUGGUAAAUGCUAUUCCUAAACUCUGAAUAUUAGUCCACCUAAGCACCGCAUUAUUUUCAAUCGCCUUCUCAUCCACCUCUAUGAACUUCAAAGUUUCAAUAUUUUUUGAAGUGAACCCUUACCGCCAACGAAAUCCAUCUACGUGGAAUUUCUCAACCGAUUUUAUUACAAUAUGCCUUAAACGUUCCAACUUAAACACACCAUCUGGAAUUACAAUGUCAUCACAAAACUUGAUGUAUAAAGUGUAAAGAUUCUUCAACCUGCCAAAAGAUCGCGGCAAAAUCAUUUUGUAAUUGUAGUAUGUUGCGGAAAGGAUCGAUUCGAGAACUCCGAUAUGACUACAAGUAAAUUGACCGGAACGAAAAAUAAAGUGAACACAAGGAUUUACGUGGUUCGGCUUUAAUGCCUACGUCCACGAGCAGAGGCGAAAAGAAAUUUCACUAUAACAAGAUGAAGAUUACAAGUGUUUUACACUCAAGACACAACCCGAGAACCUCACAACUCUCAACCCCUAUAGAAAACCCGAAAGCUAAAAUCCUAGCUUUCAAAGAACAAGCUUUGCUCUCUCUUGGUUUGGGAUGAUCAAUAUGGCUAAUGAACCUCUCUAUUUAUAAGAGAGUUCAAGGACAUAAUUGUCCAAAACUUUGGCAAAGAUUUGUGGUUGAAAAUGGACACCAACAACCAUCCACUAAACCACUACCACCAACAACCCACUACCAACAACAACAAUCCACUACCAAUUUUAAGCCAUUUCUUAACAAAUCUCCACCUUGGCUUGAAAUUUACCAAGCUGAACAUCAUAGUGAAUUCCUCGAACUGGAUCACCUCUUCCAAACGCCUCUCUGGCGCUAAUCAAUCCCGAAUACCUAUCAAGUCCAAGCAAUGCUUGAACUUAUAUGCAGGGAUCACCUUAGUUAACAUAUCUGCAGGAUUCUUCUCGGUAGCAACCUUGCUGAUAACAAUGUCACCUUGCGUAACAUGUUCCCGAACAAAAUGAUAUCUGACAUCAAUGUGUUUGGUCCGUUCAUGAAACAUCUGAUUUUUAGUCAGAUGUAUGGCACUCUGGCUAUCGCAAAAUACAACAGUGAAAUCCUGUUGUAAACCCAAACUGCUUACUAGACCUUUCAUCCACAAUGCUUCUUUCACUGCUUCUGCUAACGCCAUAUAUUCCGCCUCAGUCGUAGAUAAGGCUACGGUAGACUGUAACACAGCUUUCCAACUAAUGGCUCCUCCAGAAUAAGUGAAAACAUAACCCGUCAGAGAUCUUCUUUUGUCCAGAUCUCCAGCAUAAUCAGAGUCCACAUAGCCCGUGACACUGCUAGUGCAGUCACUCUGAUCAUAUACCAAGCAUAAAUCUGCAGAACCUCUCAAGUACCUGAGAAUCCAUUUCACGGCCUGCCAGUGUUCCUUGCCAGGACAACUCAUGUAUCUGCUGACCACACUAACUGCAUGUGAAAUGUCUGGACGAGUGCAAACCAUUGCAUACAUCACGCUUCCAACUGCACUCGAGUAUGGAAUGUGAGACAUUUGCUGCUUUUCUUCAUCAGAUUGUGGUGACAACUCUGCAGAGAGUUUGAAAUGUGGUGCCAACGGAGUACUCACAGUUUUCGCUUUAUCCAUGCCGAAGCGUUGAAGAACCUUUUCAAUGUAGUUCUUCUGCGACACACGAAGCUUGCCCGCCUUGCGAUCUCUGUGAAUAUCCAUGCCCAAAAUUUUCUUGGCAGCACCCAGAUCCUUCAUCUCGAACUCACCACUCAACUGCGACUUUAACUUGUUGAUUUCCGACAUGUUUUUGGAAGCAAUUAACAUGUCAUCAACAUACAGCAACAAAUAAAUGUGCGAACCAUCUGAGAGCUUCCGAUGAUAGACACAAGCAUCAUAGUCACAUCUUGUGUAACCAUGCUGAAUCAUGAAGCUAUCAAACCGCUUGUACCACUGCCUUGGGGAUUGUUUCAAUCCAUAUAAAGACUUCUUUAAUAGACAGACAUGGUCUUCUUUACCAGGAACUGUAAAACCCUCUGGUUGACGCAUGUAGAUUGUUUCCUCGAGCUCACCAUGCAAGAACGCCGUUUUUACGUCAAGCUGCUCAAGUUCUAGAUCAGACUUGGCCACCAUGGCAAGUAAUACACGAAUGGAAGAAUGCUUUACGACUGGGGAGAAAACUUCAUUGUAGUCAAUCCCCUCUUUCUGAGUGAAGCCUUUAGCAACCAAUCGUGCCUUGAAUCUAGUUGCUUCAACCCCUAGGAUGCCUUCCUUUUUCUUGAAGACCCAUUUGCAACCAACUAUCUUCUGGUUACUUGGCGGCUUAACCAACUCCCAAGUAUGGUUCUUGUGAAGAGAUUCUAUCUCCUCACUCAUAGCAAUUGCCCACUGUGCCGACUCAUCACACGUGACAGCCUCAUUAUAACUGGAAGGUUCUAUACCAAUGGACUCCGCCACACUGAGCGCGAAAGACACCAGAUUAGCGUAACGCGGAUUUGGUUUGAUUUGUCUCUUCGUUCUUCCAGUGGCAAUGCUAUAUGGUUUUUCUUGAGGUGACUCAUCUUCAUCGGAAUCUUGCACCUCAACUUGAUCAUCCUGGACUGAAGUACCUUCCAUAGGAAUUGGAGCGUCCACCUGACACUCCACCUGCUUCUCAACACCGUGAUCUCCCAUUCUAUCUGACUCCUCCUUUUCCCGGGAAUUUGUGGUGGAUCGAAGCAUGGAUGACUCAUCAAAAGUCACAUCUCUGCUGAUGAUGAACUUGGACGAAACCGGAUCAGGACACCACAACCUGUAUCCUUUCACCCCUUGGCCGUAUCCAAGAAAUAUGCAUUUCUUCGCCCUCGGUUUGAGUUUUCCCUCAUUUACAUGAGCAUACGCAGGGCAGCCAAACACUCUUAAACCAGAGUAAUCAGCAGGAGAACCAGACCAUACUUCCUCAGGAGUCUUCAGCUCAAUAGCUGUUGACGGAGAUCUGUUAACCAAAUAACAAGCAGUAUUAACAGCUUCAGCCCAAAAUUCUUCACCGAGCCCAGCAUUUGAUCGCAUGCAACGAGCUCGCUCCAAGAGAGUUCUAUUCAUGCGUUCUGCAACUCCAUUUUGUUGUGGUGUUCGACGAACAGUGCGGUGUCUCACUAUUCCUUCAUUUUUGCAGAACUCAUUGAAUUCACCUGAGCAAAACUCCAAGCCAUUAUCCGUCCGGAAUCGCUUGAUCUUCUUUCCUGUUUGAUUUUCGAUCAAAGCUUUAAAUUGCUUGAAGUUGAUGAGAACCUCAUACUUGCUCUUCAGAAAAUACACCCAAACCUUUCUCGAGUAAUCAUCGAUAAAGGUAAGCAGAUAUCUGUAACCACCUUUAGAAAUUGUCGGAGAAGGCCCCCAAAGGUCAGAAUGGAAGUAAUCCACUGUGCCUUUUGUCUUGUGAAUCCCAGUGCUGAACUUUACCCGAGUCUGCUUACCGAAGACGCAGUGCUCACAGAAAUUCAACUUUCCUGUACACUGCCCAGACAAUAAUCCUCGUUUGCUUAGCACCGAUAAGCCUCUCUCGCUCAUAUGCCCGAGCCGCAUAUGCCAUAACUUCGUGGUGUCAGAAUCUAGAUCAUCUGAUGAUGACACUCCCGCAACACCUGUAACCGAGGAACCAUCGAGGAAGUAAAGGCCCCGCUCCAAAUUACCACGUAUCACAGUCAAAGCACCCGAGAAUACCUUGAGAACUCCACCUUCAGCAGAGUACCGAAAGCCUUUCUUGUCCAACGUACUCAAAGAGAUCAAAUUUUUCUUCAUUUCUGGAAUGUGCCGAACAUCAGUUAGAGUUCUAACAAUACCGUCAAACAUCUUUAUACGAACUGUGCCAAUCCCCAUGACUUGACAUGCGUGGUCAUUUCCCAUUAGUACUGAACCAGAAUGCUUCUCGUAUGUUGAGAAUGCAUCUUUCGAAGUACUUAUAUGAAAUGUAGCUCCCGUAUCAAGAAUCCAUCUCCCACCAGCGUAAGAGUCGGAUACUGCAAGAACGAUCUCGGCAUCACUUGAAGAAUCUGCAUCAGCUACAUUCGCACGAUCAUUUUGUUGCUCCUGUGAUUCUGAUUUCUCCUUCCUUUUCGGACAAUCUACCUUCAUGUGCCCGUACUUCUUACAGUAGUAGCACUGUAUUCUCUUCUUGGACUGCGAUCUAGGAUGGCUUUUACUUGAACUUCCACCCUUUGCCUUGGAUCUUCCUCGAGCAACCAAGCCUUCGCCUUCAUUGUUUUCGACCACCUUACCAGUGAUUUUCUUCCUCAACUCACUGGAACUUAAGGCAUUUUUCACCUCCUCUAGAGUCAGGUCAUCACGACCGUACAUCAUUGUAUCAACAAAAUUCUCAUACGAGGGAGGCAAAGAACACAAAACAAUUAUUGCUUGGUCCUCAUCAUCGAUUUUGUUAUCGAUAUUAUUCAAAUCCAUGAUAAUGGAAUUGAAUUUAUCCAGGUGCUGGGAAACAGGUGUACCUUCCUCCAUCUUCAGGGCAUAGAGUCUUUGCUUGAGGUAGAGCCGGUUCGUCAAUGACUUCGUCAUGUACUUGCUCUCUAACCGGAGCCACAAACCGGACGCGGUUUUCUCAUCCGCUACUUCUCGUAGCACUUCAUCUCCUAGACAUAGCAGAAUAGCACUAUGUGCUCUUUCUAGCAUGUCAUCCUUUUGCUCUUCCGAAAGCGUGCUUGGUAAUUUAUCUUUACCAGACAAUGCUUUUAGCAAUCCUUGUUGAACCAGCACUGCCCGCAUCUUGAUGCGCCAUAAACUGAAACUAUUUUUCCCGGUAAAUUUCUCGACAUCAUACUUAGUCGAUGAAACACUUGUAGCCAUAAUUUGGAACCUUUGAAUGAAUGAUAAUAUUUUCUUCCUGAUGUGAAAGAUCAGACAAAGCUGCAGUCACAGGGCAAUUCAGAAAAUAUUAUCACUCCUUCAACUACGCUCUGAUACCAAUUUGUUGCGGAAAGGAUCGAUUCGAGAACUCCGAUAUGACUACAAGUAAAUUGACCGGAACGAAAAAUAAAGUGAACACAAGGAUUUACGUGGUUCGGCUUUAAUGCCUACGUCCACGGGCAGAGGCGAAAAGAAAUUUCACUAUAACAAGAUGAAGAUUACAAGUGUUUUACACUCAAGACACAACCCGAGAACCUCACAACUCUCAACCCCUAUAGAAAACCCGAAAGCUAAAAUCCUAGCUUUCAAAGAACAAGCUUUGCUCUCUCUUGGUUUGGGAUGAUCAAUAUGGCUAAUGAACCUCUCUAUUUAUAAGAGAGUUCAAGGACAUAAUUGUCCAAAACUUUGGCAAAGAUUUGUGGUUGAAAAUGGACACCAACAACCAUCCACUAAACCACUACCACCAACAACCCACUACCAACAACAACAAUCCACUACCAAUUUUAAGCCAUUUCUUAACAUAGUAUAACUUCAAGUAUCUCAAAUGUUGGAGAUUACCAAUUUCAGUCGACACACGCCACCACUUAUUGCCCCAUUUUGCAAGAGUCAACACCCUUAAAAAUUUGAAGCUUCUGUAUUUUGAAAUGCAUAAAUCUGGCCAUCCCUCCUUCUGAGAAAACAACAAAGAGCGUAAUUUUGGAUGCUCUCCCUUAAAAUUCAAAUAAUAUAUCUCUCCACUAGGAUGAAUAGCAAUUCUUCGUAGCAUAGAUUAUGCCAAUGUCACUCCAGGUACAAGCGGUGGAUGUUGAAUAAUUUCCAAGAACUUCUGCUCCCUUGCUUUCUUCGUGCACAAGUCCCUCAAGAGAUCAUGUACUCGACAUGUCUCCACAUUUGUUCCUGUAUAGUCUCGCCUGCUAACUUGAACCAAGCUCCUAUCUAUAAGCUCUUCUAGGAAUAUUUCGCCUAAAUCCUCCAUGAAGAAUUCUUCGUUUUCCGGAAUGAAACCUUCAGCGAUCCAUAAACGAAUGAGUUCUUUUUUCGGUAUCUCCCAAUCUUCUGGAUAAUGACUAAGAUACAAAAAGCAGGGUUUUAAAGGAUAAGGCAAGUCAUUGUAGCUUGAAACCAAAAUUCGGUUCACUGCACCAUAUUGACGAUCUUGGUGUGGGAGCUCAUUUAAGUGUCCAUGGAUGUUUUUAUGAACCAUCUCCCUUGAGCCACGGACUGUUUUGUUGCCAGCAAGCAACCCAACACAACAAUUGCUAAAGGCAAGCCUCCACAUUUUUUCACCAUCUCUUUUCCAAGCUUCACAAAUUCUUCUGAGCAGCAUUGAGAACCCAUUUUGCUCCGUGGGAAUGCUUUCUUACACAGAAGAUUCCAACUUUCAUCAUCCGUAAGAAAUGAGAGCUCCAUGGGAGUGUUGCAAGAAUCGGCUCGUGAAGCCACAUUCCUGUUGCGUGUUGUGAACAAUAUUUUGCUUCCCUUUCUUCCUCGUGGAAAAGCAGGUUUAAGAAUAUCCCAGUCCUCGCUUCUCCAAAUAUCAUCGAGGACCACCAAAUACCGCUUUUCUUUCAAAGCAUCAAAAUGCGUUCUCCUCAGCUCAAUCUCGUCCAUUUUCUCAAUUUUCUCUCGUUCAUCGUUAGAAGGAGAGAGAACUUUCUUCAAGACACUAAGCAAAACUUCUCUCGGCUUACAUUGUUGAGAGAUAGAAAACCAAGCCAAGAAAUCAAAAUGGCGUCUCACAUCAACAUGAUUAUAUACUUUUCUGGCAAGAGUUGUCUUACCGAGGCCCCCCAUUCCGACUAUGGGAACCACGGCGUGGGGUCUAUCUUCUUCAAACAUCAACAUGGUCAUGACAUCCUUCGUGCUAACUUCCAAGCUAACAACGUCCUCUUCCUCGACAUGUGAGUAUGUCCUUCUAAACUGUUGCUGCACCUUGAAAAUUGAGCUAGAGCCUUCUCCAUCAUCGGGUAUUUCAAAAGCUGGAAGAUUCUCGGAAAUGUUUUGGAGCUUGGUCUUGAUUGCUUUGACCUGCAACCCAAUUUUGUUCAGAUGAUAAGGUUUGGUGAAAAUGGAGGUGAAUCUCUUGACAAUCCCUUGAAAACCUCGUUGAUAUGCUGUUUUAAGAAUAAAAGAGUCGAUGACAUCUUCAGCAUCAUAAGCAAGAUUUCUGAUUUCCGACACCCGAUUCUGGAAACGCGCAUCUUGUUCAAGAUUGCGAUCCGCGUCCUUCAAGAAACACUGCAUUCGCUUCAGUUCAGCCCUUAGGCUCUCAACUUGAUCUUUUACAUCUUUGAGGAAGACAGCUUCAUGGAUGAGUAAAUCUGAAAUUCUUUCAACAGCUAAGGACACAAUAGCCUCUUCCAUUUCUCCUGCUGGUCCAGAACAGAUUCCACAAACUGAUCUGCAAGUAUUAGUAGAAUAUUUUAUGUAUUAGUGGAGAAGUAUUUCUCUUUAUCAGAAGUUUUGAAGAGCUGUUUUUGGGUGUGAGGUUGGUAAUUACUGUUCUUUGGACAGCAAAUAGCUAAACUUAUUAUUAUUAUUAUGGAACGUAACUUUUUUUAAAUAAAAUAACAUAUAUUCAAACUUAACAUGUGGAUAACCCUUGUUCUAAAUUAGUUGAAGCGAUCUUGUUUCAAUUUUAAACACUUCAUAUUUCCUUAAUGCCAUCGACUAACCACAUAACUAAUUACUAUUAGCAUCUUUAAUGACUCCUCCAAUUGCAACCGAGUGAGCGCUAGACGAAAUUGCACCAUCUGUAUUAAGUUUAAUCUAACCACUUUCCGGAACUAACCAUUUUGAAUAAAAAGCCAUAGAAUUCGAAUGGAACAUAGCCAUUGAGAGCGGUGAAUAACUUCUUUACCAACUGAUAUCUAUAUCUACCACAUCCUGAACAGAGCUAUAACUAUCGGAAAGCACAAACAUAUUCUUGUUUUUCUAUAAUAACCAAAAUAUUUUUAUUGAUUAAUAAUAAUAUUUAUAAAUAAGCUAUAGAGUGAAUCAAAUUUACUUUGAUAUCAAUAGAUGUUGAUUUAAUAAUGAAAAAUUCAUAACAAUUAUAAAAUAAUUUCUUCCAAUUAAAAAGCAAUUUUUAAAAAGGACAAAAAGAAAACUCGCUUUUUUUUCUUAUAUCUUUUUAAGAAAGAAAAGGUUAGGUGGACACAAAAUUCCAAAAGCACAAGAGAUUUUCCACAUUGAAAACAAAAGCUGUUUUCAAUUUCCACACUGGAUUCCACACAAAAUCGAUCAAGUAAAAUGGCAUGUGAAGAAAAGUUAUAAUCACUCUCAUUAGUAGGCCAACCCUCAUAACAGUCAUUUCUCAUAACUGAUUGGAUAAGGGUGAGUUUAGAUCGGCGAUUUAUUUAUUUGCUGUUAGUGUAAAAACAGUGGUGGCGAUGAGAUUAAAUACUGUAGCAAUACUGUAGCGUAAGAUAAAAUGUAAGUUAAUCACACUGCACCGCACUGCAUUGCACCUAAUCGCCUAUCCAAACCCACCUGAAGACCAAAAGAAAAAAGGUUUGUUACUUGGGUAAAUUAUACUUAAGGUCACUAAAUUGUUAAUAAAUUUAUGUUUUGAUCAUUUAACUUUAAAAGUAAUAAAAUGAUGAUUAAACUAUUUGAAGGUUUUUAUUUUAGUCACUGAUCUAUUCAACAAUUUUUAUUUAAGUCAUUAGAGUACUAUUAGUUUUUUUUAAAAAGUCUGUCUAGCUAGGUUAAAGCGACAAUUCGAUGAAUGGUACAAUGGAUCAAUACUCAUCCAUGAGUAGAAUAACAUAUACUAGAUCAAGUCAAUUUGAUGGUUGGUGCCGAAGAACGGAAAACAAAACUAUUUAGAUUUGGAUUCGUAGAUACGUGACAUUUGAAAUUGUUUCAUGAAAAAAAAAACUUAAACUAUAGAAAAGCAGGGGUAGAAGAGUUAGCGGAUAAACAAUGAAGGCCAUAUAUAUAGUAGUGAUUUUAACAACUUAAUGACUUAAAGAAUACUUUUGAAUAAUUUAGUGACAAUUUUGUAACUUUUUAAUAUUAAAUGACUAAAACAUAAACUUACUAGUAGUUUAAUGAAUUUGAAUUUAGUUUACUCCAAUUAUUUAUCAUUUUUACUGUGUUGUUUUUUGAUACAUUACCUAAAUUACCCAUCAGUAAACUUCACAAUUCCAAAAAGUGAAGGAACGCGUUUAUUAACGUUCAAACCCAUGUCCUUCAAUUCUUUUUUGCCCGGCCAAUAUAAAAAUUUUAUCCAGAACGAAAGGACGACUUGGAAAACAACAGUACAAAAGAAUGUUGAAAGAAAAUAGGAAAAAAAUUGAGAAAAUAAAACAAUCACGAUUUUUUUUUAAUUUUAAUGGUGAAAAAAAAGGUUUUAAGAAGAGAAAUUUAUUUAUUUGAGGGAGUUCCAUAUAUAAUUUAAAUUUAGAAUUUCAAAGUUCAUAACAACUCAAUCUUAUCCGUGAAAAAAUAGUUGUUCAAUAAUUUUUACUUGGUUUGUUCCUACAACCGUUAUAUUAGAGUUUAUCAUGUAUGGAUCCAUGUUUGUUCUUCUUUUAGGGUGGGUUCGGAUGGGCAGUAGAGUACGGUGCAGCGGUGCAAUACGUUUGGUUUAUUUUUGUCUCACGUUAAAGUGUCGUUACAGUAUCUAAUCUCACCGCCACCUCUAUUAUUACACUAACACUAGGUAAACGCACCGCUCAUCUAAACGCACCAUUAAUUUAUCACAUAUGAUCGUCCCUUUCCUUUCCCUUUUAUAGAUAGUAAGAGGUGUUUAUUGGUUCGAAUUAAGUUUAUGUUUAUUUAAAAUUGAUCUAGUUUAGUAACUUAUUUUGUUAUGUCCAUUUAUAUUUAUAACAGGCAUAUGUUAGUCUAUUUUAAACCUAUAAUUUUUGAAUAUAUAUUAUUAUUAAUUUAAUAUUUAAUAUUUUUAAUAAUAUUUUUUAUUAAAAUUGAAAUUUAUACAAUAUUUUUUAUGUUUAAAUAAAAUUUAUACAAAACUCUAAAGUGGGUUAGGUUUAGAGGUGAUCAUGGGUUGGGCUACUUAGCCCGACCCGACGGCCCGUCCGAAAAAUAAGAGGGUUCGGGUAAAAAUAUAGGCCCGAAAUAUGAGUUUGGGCAAAAAAAGAUGCCCUUUUUCUAAAUGGGCUAGGCCUCGAGGUAAAACUUUUUUGGCCCGAGCCCAACCCAAAUUAUAUAUUAAAUAUAAAUUUGUUAUUUUUAAUCAAACAUACAUCUAAUUCUAGUUGGUUGAUUAUAUUUUACAGGUUUUUUAUGCUAUUUUAGUGUUGUAAAAUUUAAUAUGGGUAUGGUGGAAUCAAGUUUUUUAUUUUUAUUUUUACCUUAGUCCAUUUUUUAGAUCUUGUUUUUUUUUUCUUUUGAGAAAUAAAAAUAGAUGCCAUGAAACUUGAAAAUUAAAUACAACCUCUGCAUGGGUACUACGCAUCCUACUCUCCUACAUCCGUUAAUCGGUGGAUUAGUUCUUAAUUAAUGCAAAAGUUGUAUCAUACUCAAUUCCUACGGGACUUUAAUCAUCCGGCCUAAAAGAAACAAAGAGACAAUCUAAAAGAAUCAAACCCUAAAAAUCAACUACAUCCUAAUUUUUAGGGAAAAAAAAACCCUAUCAAUUUCUCCAACUACAUCCGGACUUUAUUCAGUUUUUUUAUAUAUAUAAGAUGGACGUUUGAGCUUAAAUAAAUAAUUGAACUCAUAAAUAGAGGCUUUUUUUAUAAAAAUAACUCAAAAAUUUUGAUUAUUUAUGAAAUUAAUCUAUUUUUUUAUUUAACAUGUAAAUGAUCUAAAAUCUGUGGUAAAAGUUGGUGGAGUCAAAGAGUUUGACGUCACCAACAUACCACGUCAGUAAUCCAGAUAAAAAUUUAUUUUUUUGGUAGAACCAUGUAAAAUGACGUCACCUGUAUAAAUAAUAAAAAAAUACAGCUAUUUUUAAAAAAAUUGGGGGACCUUAAAAAAACUUUUUUUUUUCCUGGUAAAGCUAAAUAAUUUGACGCUACCAAUUUCUAAAAUUACCUGCAUCAUCCAUUUUUGAAAUGUCGUUAUUUUAUGUCAUUUAUGUAUUUAAUAAAAAUAAAUAAUCAAAUUUUUUAAAUUAUUUUUUAUAAAAAAGCCUUAAUAGAUAAUUCAUCGAUUACCAAAUCAAUCAACCUAUUCAAUCAAACAAGACAGGUUUUAGCCUCACUCGGAAAAGCCACAGUCCACUCCCGUAGAGCAGCCAAAACAUAUUUAAUUAUUCAAAAGCCGUGUGCCGUUCGACUAAAACAAAUUUCCAAAUCAAGAAGCAAUUUUUUAAAAUAAAAACAAAAUUGCUUGUAGAAAAAGCUUUAGGUGGACACAAAAUUCCAAAAGCGCCAACAGAUUUUCCACACAUUGGGAAUAAAACUUGUUUGCAAUUUCUACAUUGGCAGCCAUACAAUAAAAUGGUAGGAAACUGACCCAAGGCGAUCCAAUAUGAUUAGCAACAGAAAGACUUAAUAUCUUUUGAACUCUUAAAUAUUAUUCCUCAACAUUAAAUAUGAGUCAACCUAAGUGCCUCAUUAUUUUCAAUAAACUUCUUAUUUACCAUCAUGCGCUUCAAAGUUUCAAUAUUUUUUUGAAGAAAAGCUUUGGCACAGGAGAAAACAACUUUUUUAACAAGGGUAUGUAUACCAUUUCAUCACAAAUUGCCUUAAACAUUCCAACUUGAAUACUACAUUUGGAAUUACAGAGUCAUAAUGGCAUUAGAGGUACAAAGUGUGUAAAUUCUUCAACUAAUUUCCAAUAGCCCAUGGCAAGAGUAUUUUGAGUUUGCAUCUUAACCUCAAAUGAUGGAGAUUACAAAUUUCACUUGACACAUGCCACUCCUCAACAUUCCUCGUAAGUUUCAAGAAUAGAAAACUAACGUGAAAUUCAGAAAUUGAAAGGGAAAGUUUGAAACAAAAAGAAUCAACAGAGGUAGAAAAAAACUAGCAGCAACAAAACUAAUGUGAAAACAAAAGAAGAGUGGAAAACAUGGGAAAGUGGGGAAGUUGGACAUAUGGGAUGGAGAGACGUGGGAGAAUUUUGGAGAAAUAUUUUUAAUUAAUUUUUUCUUAAAAAAUAUUAUCCUAACCAACAUAAUUUUUUUUGAUAACCUAUCAAUUUAUUCAUAAUUCGAAUUUAACUAAACCGCUAACACAUGGGCAGCACAUUUAGGGAGUUCCAAAAUUAAUUUUUGCUUUAUAAGGAUUCAAACACGAGAUCUCUAAGCAAGCUGAAACUUUAUUAUUAAACUAGUAAAUUCAUUCUUAUUAAUAAUUAAUAAAAAUAAUAUAUAAUCUAAAUAUUCAAGGAUAGGGGAUGGAACAAAAAUAACAAAUUAAAAAAAAAAAAGAUUUACCGUAACUUUUGUUUCAUCAGUAUGCUUGUCUCAUAUCAGAGUAAAACUGCUUACAAAUGUGAGGCUAAGAUUUUUACGUUUCAGAAACAUGUAUAUAAAUGCUUCUCGGUUGGUCGAAAAUGAAGCAUAUAACACGGUUAUCUUAGUACAUAGAGUUCCCUGAAUUUACUACAUUUCGAUUUGUGUAACCUUAUUAAAACAAGUCUUCAAUAUGAGUCCCUACUUUGUUGUUAUUGUUUAUAGGAAGAAUAAAUUAUGUGAAACUCAACUUUCUUAAGCACCCUAACUUUUGUGAAUUUAGAUUAAAAGGGAGUUUAAUUCACAAAAUAUUUGAUUAACCUGACAAUUAGUGCAUUACUAGAUAUGUUACAGUACCGCGUUUGGUUCAAGGUAAAAGUUGAAAUAAUUCUAGACUCAAAGAUAUUUGAUUAUCGGUUUGUUCUUAGUAUAUAGUAAAUGAGUAAAAAGUUUUGAUUAAAAAAACUUUAUGGAAUUAUUAAUAUCAUUAAUUAAACAGUUAAAAAUUUUAAAAUGAUUAAUGUCGACUCUUUUUAUAAAAUAUUCGGGUGGGGAUUGGUAUAAAUCUGUUAAAAAAAUUUAAUAUUCAUCAUUCCACUUAAGUCAAGAUUAAUAUAAAUCUGUUUUAUACAUUUUGUUAUAAGAAAACGCACAUAUUUUUGUUAUGUCAUAUAAAUAUACAUGUUAUAUGUUUUGAUUAACAUUGUAUCAUCUAAUUUUUAAUUGAAAUAGUGAGUUGUAAAUUUAAAGGGGUUGUUUUACUAUUUAAAUAAUGAAUCUAACCAUUUAACAUCUAUUGAGUUAUUUAGAAUUUCUUUCUUCGGUUUAAAUUGAUUAAUUUCAAUUAAAUAGAUGCAAAUGAAGAACCAAUUAAUAAGAAGAUAAAUUUUUGAAAAAAUAAGCAAAUUGGGAGGCCGGAAGCCAGCAUUAGAUAUAUAGCAAACAAUCACUUCAUUCAAAGCUCAUACUAUAUGGCAAUCCAAUUCUUAUAAAAAAUACAUACACACACUUAAUGAAAUUAGAUAUCUGGGCAAAGUGCAUUCCAGUGCUGAUUUGGUAAACCUACAUCAAGAAAAAAAAUGGUAUGUAUAUAUCAUCAUCUCUUAUGUAUAAUAAUUAAAAAUAUGAAAUCAUAAAACGAUAUUAAAAAUUUAGUUUUUCUAGAAAUAUAUUCAAAAUUCUUACUUUUUUAUAUUUUAAUUAUAAUUUUUAUGGUAAUUAAAGAUAUAUUCUUCUAUUCUGUUAUUUUAUCAAUAUUAUAUCAAUCUCUGACUCUAUGAGUGAAAAAGAAAAGAAAAAAGAGCCUAAAAAUUAUUAUUUUAUAGAAAUAAAUACCUCACGUGAUGUUGGCUCCUAUUAUUUUGGGAUCAAAUUAUGUGGAUGGAGGGAAUGUGGCGCACUUUAUAGAAAUCCUCUCCUUCUCUUCCAUCUAUCACUUCAAUCCUUUCUUCCAAUGACGAAGGUAGUCCUCUUAAAUUCAAUUCUUGGAGAGUAGUAAUGUACCUCAAUCCUUCUGGAAACAUCCUUAAACUCUCAACGUUGACCAACUCCAAUUCUCGAAGGCAUGGCAUUGAACCUUCUUCUAUUUCCCACUCCUCCAACUCAAAUAACCAAGACAUUUGAAGAUAAUCAAGUUUAGGAAAUAUUGGAACCCACCCAUUGUUUGAAAAGUCAAAAAGGGUGGGCACUGAAAGUAGAAAGUAAAAUUGGUUGGCAAGUUGGGUUAAAAGUUGGCAUGGGAUAAUUGCAAUUUUGGUCCCUAAUUGUAUAGGGACAUUGCAAGUUGAUCCUUGAACCUCAACUAUAAAUAGGCCUAACCAUUUCUUACUUUCUUCAUCCCACACUUGCCAUUCUCUACUUAAGGCAAUUGUUCUCUCUCCCUAUUUGUAAACUUUCACUUGUAUUUUUGGAGUGAAAUAUAUUUGGUAGUGCCCGAGGACGUAGGCAAAAUUUGCUGAACCUCGUUAAAAUUCUAGUGUUCUUUAUUUUUGUUCUGCAUAUUUUGCAAGUGUUAUUGUAGUGAUUUAUUGUGCUAUUAAAUUACGAUAGAGGGAUAUUCUGGCUAGGAAAGAUCUGGUAUGUAAGCGAUCCUCGUGAUCCACCUCUCUUUCUUGGGAAUUGAACUUAGUGUGAUUUUUCAAUACAAUAAUUUUACUCUUUCACACGCUUCCGCGCAACAAUUGGUACCAGAGCCAGGUUCGUACUUGGGGAAUACGACCGUUUACGGUACUAUUCACGUAUACGGUACUAUUCACGUAUACAGUACUAUUCACGUAUACGACACUAUUCACGUAUACGGUACUGUUCACGUAUACAGUAGUUGGGAUUGAGGAGAAAAAUGGCAGCAGCAUCGUCAUCAGCAAGGACUACUGUGACAAAUGCAAAAUUUGAAGUAGAGAAAUUUGACGGUACCAAUAAUUUUGGUAUGUGGCAGUGUGAGAUCCUGGAUGUCUUAUGUCAGCAAGAGCUGGAUAUAGCCCUUGAAGAAAAACCUGACAAGAUGGAUGACAAGGAGUGGGCCAAGAUCAAUAGACAGGCGUGUGGUACAAUCCGCCUAUGUUUGGCCAAAGAGCAGAAGUACUCCGUCAUGAGGGAGACAUCAGCGAAGAAGCUGUGGGAUACAUUGGAAGAAAAGUUUCUAACGAAAAGUCUUGAAAAUAGGCUUUAUAUGAAAAAGAAACUUUUUCGGUUCACGUAUGCACCCGGUAUGUCGAUGAAUGACCAUGUGAACUCAUUCAAUAAAAUUUUAGCAGACUUGCUAAAUUUGGAUGAGAAAUUUGAAGAUGAAGACAAGGCAUUAUUGUUGUUGAAUUCCCUUCCUGAUGAAUAUGAUCAUCUUACCACCACAUUGCUUCAUGGGAAAGAUUCAAUCACAUUUGAUGCAGUCUGUAGUGCGUUGUAUAGAUCUGAGACUCGAAAGAAAGAUAAAAGAGAUCACAGAGAUACAACUGCAGAAGUCUUAACAGUAAGAGGUCGUUCACACAGCAGCAAACCUGGUAGAAGGGGUAAGUCCAAAGGGAGACCCGCCAAAGAUGAAUGUGCCUUUUGUCGUGAGAAAGGGCAUUGGAAAAAGAAUUGUCCUAAGUUACAAAAGGGCAAGUCUAUUUCUAAUGCAUGUGUAGCGGAGCAUGAUGAGGAGUCAGACUUUAGCUUGGUUGGCAUGGCAAUCGCAUGUCAAACGGAUGAGUGGAUAUUGGAUUCGGGAUGUACUUACCAUAUGUGUCCUAAUAAGGACUGGUUUUCUAGUCUUGAAGAACUAGAAGGUGGAGUUGUUUUUAUGGGCAAUGAUAGUGCCUGUAAGACAAUGGGUGUAGGUACAAUCAAAUUGAAGAACCAUGACGGCUCAAUCCAAGUUCUGACAGAUGUUCGCUAUGUACCCAGCUUGAAGAAAAAUCUCAUCUCAUUAGGGGCCCUAGAAUCUAAAGGGCUCACAAUCACUUUGAGAGAUGGAUUACUAAAGGUAGUAGCUGGGGUAUUGACGGUGAUGAAAGGCACUAGAAGAAAUAACUUGUACUAUUUAAAUGGAAGUACAGUUAUUGGAUCAACAUCAACAGCUUCUACGAAAGAUGCAGAUUCAGAGGCUACCAGGUUAUGGCAUAGGCGAUUGGGACAUGCUGGUGAAAAAGCUUUGCAGACUUUGGCGAAGCAAGGCUUGUUGAAAGGUGCAAAUUCUUGCAAAUUGGAAUUCUGUGAACAUUGUGUUCUGGGCAAGCAGACGAGGGUAAAAUUUGGUUCAACAAUUCACAAUACGAAAGGAAUUCUGGACUAUGUUCACAGUGAUGUGUGGGGACCUACCAAAGUGGCUUCUUUGGGAGGUAUGCACUAUUUUGUCACUUUUCUUGAUGAUUAUUCAAGAAAAGUAUGGGUGUAUCUAAUGAAAAGAAAAAAUGAAGUUUUGGAUGCAUUUCUGAAGUGGAAGAAGAUGGUGGAGACUCAGACAGGUCGAAAGGUCAAACGACUUCGAUCAGAUAAUAGUACUGAGUACAAAAAUGAUCCAUUUCUACAAGUAUGUCAAGAUGAGGGCAUUGUGCGACACUUCACUGUUCGAGAUACACCACAGCAGAAUGGGGUGGCAGAACGCAUGAAUCGGACUAUACUGGAGAAAGUUCGAUGUAUGUUGUCCAAUGCUGGAUUGAGCAAGGAAUUUUGGGCUGAGGCAGUUACAUAUGCGUGCCAUCUAAUUAACCGAUUGCCAUCAGCUGCAAUAAAUGGAAAAACUCCUAUGGAGAUGUGGACUGGUAAACCUGCUACUGAUUAUGAUUCUUUACAUGUUUUUGGUUCCACUGCAUAUUAUCAUGUAAAAGAAUCUAAGUUAGACCCAAGAGCAAAGAAAACAUUAUUCAUGGGUAUAACUGGUGGUGUAAAAGGAUACCGUCUCUGGUGUCCUGAUACAAGGAAGAUUGUUUUCAGUAGAGAUGUAACUUUUGAUGAAUCAACCAUGAUGAAGAACGAGGAUUCACAAAAGGAUGACAAAACCAGUAGUACUUUGCAGCAGGUGGAGUUUGAAAAGGUUAAUGAUGAUCCAGCUAAUAUUGAAAGAACAAAUGAUGAAGAAGUUUUGACCCAAGAACUUCUACAGCAACAAGAUUCAAUUGCAUAUAGGAGGCCAAGAAGAGAGAUUCGUAAGCCUGCUCGCUUUGACGAUGUGGUGGCCUAUGCACUUCCAAUUGCAGAUGAUGAUGUUCCUUCCACUUACACAGAAGCAAUAAGUAACUCUGAUGGUGUAAAGUGGAAGCAAGCUAUGAAUGAAGAAAUACAGUCUCUUCAUAAAAAUAGGACUUGGGAGUUGGUGAGACUGCCCAAGGGAAAGAAGGCAAUUGGAUGCAAAUGGGUAUAUGCAAAGAAGGAAGGAUUUCCUGGUAAAAAUGAAAUUCGAUACAAGGCUAGAUUGGUAGCAAAGGGUUACGCUCAGAAAGAAGAAAUAGACUACAAUGAAGUGUUUUCUCCAGUUGUGAAGCAUUCGUCUAUUCGGAUUUUGCUAGCCUUGGUUGCGCAAUACAAUCUUGAACUAGUUCAGCUUGAUGUGAAGACAGCAUUUUUACACGGUGAUUUGGAAGAGGAAAUCUAUAUGACUCAGCCUGAUGGAUUCAAUGUUGCUGAUAAAGAAAAUUGGGUUUGCAAACUGACAAAGUCGCUUUAUGGAUUGAAACAAUCUCCGAGGCAGUGGUACAAGCGAUUUGAUCAGUUCAUGAAAGGGCAAAGGUACACAAGAAGUAAAUUUGAUCAUUGCGUAUAUUUUCAGAAGCUACAAGAAGGAACUUUCAUAUACUUGCUCUUAUAUGUUGAUGAUAUGCUGAUAGCAUCUAAGAGCAAAGUUGAGAUUGAGAGAUUGAAGACUCAACUCAAUCUCGAGUUUGAGAUGAAAGAUCUAGGUGAAGCUAAGAAGAUUCUUGGCAUGGAAAUAUGUAGAGAUAGAGCUCAUGGCAGAGUUAGCUUGUCUCAGAAGCAGUAUUUGAAGAAAGUACUACAGCAGUUUGGCAUGAACGAGCAGACCAAACCUGUAAGUACCCCGUUGGCUUCUCAUUUCAAGCUUUCUGCACAACUAUCUCCUUCGACGAAUACGGAACGAGAAUACAUGUUGCAAGUUCCGUAUUCUAAUGCAGUGGGUAGCUUGAUGUAUGCAAUGGUGUGUACAAGACCCGACAUUUCACAGGCAGUUAGUAUAGUGAGCAGGUAUAUGCAUAAUCCUGGAAAAGGACAUUGGCAAGCUGUGAAAUGGAUUCUACGGUAUAUUCAGAAGACCGUGGAUGUUGGAUUACUGUUCAAGCAGGAUAAUACACUUGGUAAAGGUGUUAUUGGGUACGUUGAUUCUGACUAUGCCGGUGAUUUGGACAAGCGAAGAUCAACCACCGGUUAUGUGUUUACACUUGCUGGAGGACCAAUAAGUUGGAAGUCUGCACUACAGUCUACAGUUGCAUUGUCAACCACAGAAGCCGAGUACAUGGCUGUAACAGAGGCUGUAAAGGAGGCUAUUUGGUUACAAGGUAUGGCUAAAACCUUGGGGUUGGUUCAGGAGCAUAUUAACGUGUAUUGUGAUAGUCAAAGUGCUAUUCAUUUAGCAAAGAAUCAAGUCUAUCAUGCACGUACAAAACAUAUCGACGUACGAUUCCAUUUUGUGCGGGAAAUUAUUGAAGAGGGGAAAAUUUGUCUUCAGAAGAUCAAGACUGCAAAUAAUCCCGCAGAUAUGAUGACCAAGGUGGUAACAGCAACCAAGUUCGAACAUUGUUUGAACUUGAUUAAUAUCCUGCAAGUUUAACAGUUGAAGAAGGCACUAUCAAGUAUUGUUGUCAAAGGCAGAAAGAAUUGUGUGAAGAUAAGAUUAUCCUAAUCAAAUCUUCAAGGUGGAGAUUAUUGGAACCCACCCAUUGUUUGAAAAGUCAAAAAGGGUGGGCACCGAAAGUAGAAAGUAAAAUUGGUUGGCAAGUUGGGUUAAAAGUUGGCAUGGGAUAAUUGCAAUUUUGGUCCCUAAUUGUAUAGGGACAUUGCAAGUUGAUCCUUGAACCUCAACUAUAAAUAGGCCUAACCAUUUCUUACUUUCUUCAUCCCACACUUGCCAUUCUCUACUUAAGGCAAUUGUUCUCUCUCCCUAUUUGUAAACUUUCACUUGUAUUUUUGGAGUGAAAUAUAUUUGGUAGUGCCCGAGGACGUAGGCAAAAUUUGCUGAACCUCGUUAAAAUUCUAGUGUUCUUUAUUUUUGUUCUGCAUAUUUUGCAAGUGUUAUUGUAGUGAUUUAUUGUGCUAUUAAAUUACGAUAGAGGGAUAUUCUGGCUAGGAAAGAUCUGGUAUGUAAGCGAUCCUCGUGAUCCACCUCUCUUUCCUGGGAAUUGAACUUAGUGUGAUUUUUCAAUACAAUAAUUUUACUCUUUCACACGCUUCCGCGCAACAGGAAAUCCAUUUGCAGAGCACGCCAUUUUACUCCCAAUAUAUGCUUCCUUCAAAUAGAGAAUCCUCAAAUGACAUAGCUUUUCUAAUACCGCCAAUGGAUCUUGGCUCAGCUCACAGUCAACCAAAGUUAAUUUGACAAUAUUUGAUGGAAGAAAUUUCAAAACAUGACCGUUCGGAUGUGGCUCAUCUUCUAUCCCACCCACUAAUUUCAGUUUGGAGAGGUGAUAAUAUUGAGAAAGGGGUUCUAAGUCUAGGUUUGAGCUAUCAGAAAAUUUCAAGGACACUGACCUAAGGCGUUGCAAUUUGGUUAGCAAGGUUAGGGUAAGCUUCACAUAUUUUGCUCUGGUAAAUGCUAUUCCUAAACUCUGAAUAUUAGUCCACCUAAGCACCGCAUUAUUUUCAACCGGCUUCCCAUCCACCUCUAUGAACUUCAAAGUUUCAAUAUUUUUUGAAGUGAACCCUUGCCGCCAACGAAAUCCAGAUGAGGAAUAUUUCCUAGACUUUAUUACAAUAUGCCUUAAACGUUCUAACUUAAACACACCAUCUGGAAUUACAAUGUCAUAACAAAACUUGAUGUACAAAGUGUACAGAUUCUUCAACCUGCCAAUAGAUCGCGGCAAAAUCAUUUUGUCAUUGUAGUAUAACUUCAAGUAUCUCAAAUGUUGGAGAUUACCAAUUUCAGUCGACACAUGCCACCACUUAUUGCCCCUUUUUGCAAGAGUCAACACCCUUAAAAAUUUGAAGCUUUUGUAUUUUGAAAUGCAUAAUUCUACCAAUCUCACAUUCUGAGAAAACAACAAAGAGCGUAAUUUUGGAUGCUCUCCCUUCAAAUAAACUUUCGAAUGUCUAGGAUGAAUAGAAAUUCUUCGUAGCAUAGAUUCUGCCAAUGUCACUUCAAGUUCAUACAGUGGUUGUUGAAUAAUUUCCAAGAACUUCUCCUCUCUUGCUUUCUUCGUGCACAAGUCCCUCAAGAGAUCAUGCACUCGACAUGUCUCCACAUUUGUUCCUGUAUAGUCUCGCCUGCUAACUUGAACCAAGCUCCUAUCUAUAAGCUCUUCUAGGAAUUUUUCGCCUAAAUCCUCCAUCAAGAAUUCUUCAUUUUCCGGAAUGAAACCUUCAGCGAUCCAUAAACGAAUGAGUUCCUUUUUCGGUAUCUCCCUAUCUUCUGGAUAAUGACUAAGAUACAAAAAGCAUGGUUUUAAAGGAUAAGGCAAGUCAUUGUAGCUUGAAACCAAAAUUCUGUUCACUGCCCCAUAUUGACGAUCUUGAUGUGGGAGCUCAUUUAAGUGUCCAUGGAUGUUUUUAUGAACCAUCUCCCAUUGAGCCACUGACUGUUUUGUUGCCAGCAAGCAACCCAACACAACAAUUGCUAAAGGCAAGCCUCCACAUUUUUUCACCAUCUCUUUUCCAAGCUUCACAAAUUCUUCUGAGCAGCAUUGAGAAGCCAUUUUGCUCCGUGGGAAUGCUUUCCUACACAAAAGAUUCCAACUUUCAUCAUCUGUAAGAAGUGAGAGCUCCACGGGAGUGCUCCAAGGAUCGGCACGUGAAGCCACAUUUUUUAUUCGUGUUGUGAACAAAAUUUUGCUUCCCUUUCUUCCUCGUGGAAAAGCAGGUUUAAGAAUAUCCCAGUCCUCACUUCUCCAAAUAUCAUCGAGGACCACCAAAUACCGCUUUUCUUUCAAAGCAUCAAAAAGCGUUCUCCUCAGCUCAAUCUCGUCCAUUUUCUCAAUUUUCUCUCUUUCAUCGUUAGAAGGAGAGAGAACUUUUUCAUCGUUAGAAGGAGAGAGAACUUUCUUCAAGACACUAAGCCAAACUUCUCUCGGCUUACAUUGUUGUGAGAUAGAAAACCAAGCCAAGAAAUCAAAAUGGUGUCUCACAUCAACAUGAUUAUAUACUUUUCUGGCAAGAGUAGUCUUACCGAGGCCUCCCAUGCCGACUAUGGAAACCACGGCGUGGGGUCUAUCUUCUUCAAACAUCAACAUGGUCAUGACAUCCUUCGUGCUAACUUCCAAGCUAACAACAUCCUCUUCCUCGACAUGUGAGUAUGUCCUUCUAAACUGUUGCUGCACCUUGAAAAUUGAGCUAGAGCCUUCUCCAUCAUCGGGUAUUUCAAAAGCUGGAAGAUUCUCGGAAAUGUUUUGGAGCUUGGUCUUGAUUGCUUUGACCUGCACCCCGAUUUUGUGCAGAUGAUAAGGUUUGGUGAAAAUGGAGGUGAAUCUCUUGACAAUCCCAUGAAAACCUCGUUGGUGUGCUGCUUUAAGAAUAAAAGAGUCGAUGGCAUCUUCAGCAUCAUAAGCAAGAUCUCUGAUUUCCCACACCCGAUUCUGGAAAUGCGCAUCCUGUUCAAACUUGCUAUCCGCGUCCUUCAAGAAACACUGCAUUCGCGUCAGUUCAGCCCUUAGGCUCUCAACUUGAUCUUUCACAUCUUUGAGGAAAACAGCUUCAUGGAUGAGUAGAUCUGAAAUUCUUUCAACAGCUAAGGACACAAUAGCCUCUUCCAUUUCUCCUGCUGGUCCAGAACAGAUUCCACAAACUGAUCUGCAAGUAUUAGUAGAAUAUUUUUUGUAUUAGUGGAUAAGUAUCUCUCUUUAUCAGAAGUUUUGAAGAGCUGUUUUUGGGUGUGAGGUUGGUAAUUACUGUUCUUUGGACAGCAAAUAGCUGAACUUAUUAUUAUUAUUAUGGAACGUAACUUUUUUUUAAUAAAAUAACAUAUAUUCAAACUUAACAUGUGGAUAACCCUUGUCCUAAGUUAGUUGUAUCCCUUCUAACAUCAAUCUUGCUUUAAUUUUAUACACUUCAUAUUUCUUUAAUGUCAUCGACUAACCACAUAAUUAAUUACUAUUAACAUAUUUAAUGACUCUUCCAAUUGUAAUUGAGUGAGCGCUAGACGAAAUUACACCAUCUGUAUUAAGCUUAACCUAACCACUUUCUAGAACUAACCAUUUUAAAUCAAAAGCCAUAAAAUUCGAAUGGAACAUAGCCAUUGAGGGUGGUGAAUAACUUCUCGUCCAACUGAUACCAUCUACCACAUCCUAAAUAGAGCUAUAACUAUCGAAAAGGACAAACAUAUUCCUAUUUUUCUAUAAUAACCAACAUAUUGUUAUUGAUUAAUAGUAAUGUUUAUAGAAAAAUAUAGAGUAAAUCAAAUUUAUUUUGAUAUCAAUAGAUGUUGAUUUAAUAAUGAAAAAUUCAUAACAAUUAUAAAAUAAUUUCUUCCAAUUAAAAAGCAAUUUUUUUUCUUUUUAUCUUUUUAAGAAAGACAAGGCAAGUGGACACAAAAUUCAUUAAAUUUUAAAAGUUAUAAAAUGAUAAUUGAACUAUUUAAAUAUUUUUAUUUUAGUCACUGAUCUAUUCAAUAAUUUUUAUUUAAGUCAUUAGAUUAUUAGCUUUUUUUUCAAACGUCUGAUUAGUUAGGUUAAAGCAACAAUUCGAUGAAUGGUACAAUGGAUCAAUACUCAUUGACGAGUAGAAUAACAUUUACUAGAUCAAGUCAAUUUGAUGGUUGGUGCCGAAGAACGGAGAACAAAACUAUUUAGAUUUAAAUUCGUAGAUACGUGACAUUUGAAGUUGUUUUAUUAAAAAAAAAAACUUAAACUAUAGACAAGCAGGGGUAGAAGAGUUAGCGGGCAAACAAUGAAGGACAUAUAGUAGUGAUUUUAACAACUUAAUGACUUAAAGAAAACUUUUGAAUAAUUUAGUGACAAUUUUGUAACUUUUUAAUGUUAAACGAUUAAAACGUAAACUUACUAAUAGUUUAAUGGCCUUGAAUGUAGUUUACUCCAAUUAUUUAUUAUUUUUAAUGUGUUGUUUUUUUUUACCUUACCUAAAUUACCCAUAAGUAAACUUCAUAAAUUCCAAAAAGUGGAGGAUAGUACGCGUUUAUUAAUGUUCAAACCCAUGUCCUCCAAUUCUUUUUUGCCCGGCCAAUAUAAAAUUUUAUACAGAACGAAAGGACGACUUGGAAAACAACAGUACAAAGAAUGUCGAAUGAAAAUAAGAGAAAAAAUUGAGAAAAUAAAACAAUCACGAUUUUUUUUGUAAAAUUUAAUGGUAAAAAAAAAGUUUUAUAUAAGAGGAGAAAUUUAUUUAUUUGAGGGAGUUUCAUAUAUAAUUUAAAUUUAGAAUUUCAAAACUCAUAACCGUGAAAAAAGUUGUUCAAUAAUUUUUACUUGGUUUGUUCCUACAACCGUUAUAUUAGAGUUUAUCACGUAUGGAUCCGUGUUUGUUUUUCUUUUAGAGUGGGUUUGGAUAGGCAGUAGAGUGCGGUGCAGCGGUGCAAUACGUUUAGUUUAUUUUUUAUCUCACGUUACAGUGUUGUUACAGUAUCUAAUCUCACCGUCAUCGCUAUUAUUACACUAACCGCAGGUAACCGUACCGCACAUCCAAACUCACCCGUAGUUUAUCACAUAUAAUCGUCUCUUUCCUUUCCCUUUUAUAGAUAGUAAGAGGUGUUUAUUGGUUCGAAUUAAGUUUAUGUUUAUUUAAAAUUAUCCAGUUUAAGAACUUAUUUUGUUAUGUCCAUUUAUAUUUAUAACUGGCAUAUGUUCGUCUAUUUUAAACCUGUAAUUUUUAAAUAUAUAUUAUUCUUAAUUUAAUAUUUAAUAUUUUUAAUAAUAUUUUUAUUAAAAUUGAAAUUUAUACAAUAUUUUUUAUGUUUAAAUAAAAUUUAUACAAAACUCUAAAGUGAGUUGGGUUUAGAGGUGAUCAUGGGUUGGACUACUCGUCCCGGCCUGACAGCUCGUCCGAAAAAUGGGAGAGUUUGGGUAAAAAUAUAGGCCCGAAAUAUGAGUUUGGGAAAAAAAGAGGCCCGUUUAGAAAACGAGCCGAGCCUCGAGUAAAACUUUUUUGGCCGGGCCCGGCUCGAAUUAUAUAUUAAAUAUAUAAUUUUUAUUUUAAUCAAAUAUACCUCUAAUUCUGGUUGGUUGAUUAUAUUUUGCAGGUAUUUAAUGCUAUUUUGGUGUUGUAAAAUUUAAUAUGGGUCGGGUCGGGCCGAGCCUAGCCCAUGAUCACCUCUAGUUGGCUUAGGUUUGAGAGAGUUGAAGCUUAACCAGAAUCAAGUUUUUUUUUUUUUUUUUUACUUUAGUCCAAUUUUUAGAUCUUGUUUUUUUUUUCUUUUGAGAAAUAAAAAAUAGAUGCCAUCAAACUUGAAAAUUGAAUACAACCUCUGCAUGUGUACCACACAUCCUACUCUCCUACAUCUGUUAAUCGGUGGAGUAGUUCUUAAUUAAUUGAAAAGUUGUAUCAUACUCAAUUCUUACGGGACUUUAAUCAUCCGAUCUAAAAGAAACAAAGAAUCAAACCCUAAAAAUCAACUACAUCCUAAUUUUUAGAAAAAAAGAAAAAAAAAUCUAUCAAUUUCUCCUUUAGCAAUCCACUCUUUCAUCUACCACCAUCGUUCCACCUUGAAAUAAUCUAUACUUUUAGUAUCCUUGAUGGAAAUUCUUGUAGAAAAAAAAAUCGUUUUAUUCGGUUUUUUUUUAUAUAUAAGAUUGACCUUUUAGCUUAAAUAAAUAAUUGAACUCAUAAAUAAAGGCUUUUUUUAUAAAAAUAAUUCAAAAAUUUUUAUUAUUUAUGAAAACAAUCCAUUUUUUAUUAAACAUGUAAAUGAUCUAAAACCUAUAGUAAAAGUUGGUGGAGUCAAAGAGUUUGGCGUCACCAACAUACCAUAUCAGCAAACGAGAAAAAAAAUUUAUUUAUUUUGGUAGAACCAUGUAGAACGACAUCACUUAUAUAAAUAUUAUUUUUGAAAAAUUAGAAGAAUUUAAAAAAAAUACAUUUUUUCUAAUGAAGCUAAAUAAUUUAACGCUACAAAUUUCUAAAAUUACCUACAUCAUCUAUUUUUAAAAUAUCGUUAUUUGAUGUCAUUUAUGUAUUUAAUAAAAAUAAAUAAUCAAAUUUUUUUUUAUAAAAAAGCCUUAAUAGAUAAUUUAUCAAUUACCAAAUCAAUCAAACUAUUCAAUCAAACAAGGCAAGUUUUAGGCUCAUUCGGAAAAGCCACAGUCCACUCCCGCAGAGCAGCCAUAGCAUAUUUAAUUAUUCAAAAGCCGUGUGCCGUUCGACUAAAACAAAAUUCCAAAAAUAAAAACAAAAUUGCUUGUAGAAAAAGCUUUAGGUGGACACAAAAUUCCAAAAGGGCCAACAGAUUGUCCACACAUUGGGAAUAAAACUUGUUUGCAAUAUCUACAUUGGCAGCCAUACAAUAAAAUUGUAGGAAACUGACAUUAGUAGGCCAACCCUCAUUUUCAUUUCUUCCAAUUAACAGCUAUUUGAACACCCAACAGUCGUUGCUCGUAAUUGAUAGGAUAAGAUCAAACGAAAAAAUAAUAAUUAUUUGGAUCAAUUAUAUUCAACUUCACUAAAUUAUUAUUAAAUUUAUAUUUUAAUUAUUUAACUUUAAAAAAAUUAUAAGAUAGUUAUUGAAACAUUUAACAGUUUUCAUUUAAGUCAUUAAACUAUUUAAAAUUUUUUGUUUAAGUCAUUGAACUAUUAAGUUCUUUUUUAAAAAAAAAAAGUAGUUUGGCUUUUGAGGAUCAAGCGACAAUUCGAUGAACAGUACAAUGGAUCAAUACUCAUCAACGAGUAAAAGAACAUAUAUUAGACUAAGUCAAUUUGAUGGUCGGUAUUGAAAAACUGUUUGGAUUUUAGUUCGUAGAUACGUGAUAUUUAAAGUUGUUUUAUUAAAAAAUCCUAAAUUGUAGAAGAGUAAGGGCAAAGAGUUUAUUAUUGGUGCAGGUGAUGUCAACAAUAAAUGCCAUAUAACAAAAAUUUUAAUAGUUCAAUAACAUAAAUGAAAACUUUCGAAUAAUUUAAUGACCAUAUUGUAGCUUUUUAAAAUUAAUUGACCAAAAUAGUAAUUUAGUGACCUUUAGUGUUAUUUACUCUAAUUAUUUAUUAUUUUUACUGUGUUAUUUUUUAUACAAUACUUAAAUUACUCAUAAAUAAAUUUCACAAUCCGGAUAUUACACCCUUAUUAAGGUUGAAACCCACACCCCAAAUGUUUUUUGCCCGGUUAAUAAUUUUUUUUUAUCAAAAAUGAAAGGACCACUUAGAAAAUAUAGUAUAAAGAAUGUUGAAAGAAAAUAAGAGAAAAUAGACUAGUACAAUAAACAAUAAAUAAAUUUCUAAGCUUUAAAUAUAAAUCUUUCCUUAAAAUCCAUCAACUUAAUAAAUCGACGAAGAAUCAAUUAAUGUUGAGCUUCUUUGCAGGCUUGCAUUUGGAGAUGAAAGAAAGCUCCAACCCUACUAGCAACAACAUGAAAUUGGUAUAUCAUCUUUAAUCUAUACUAAUAAUAAUGAUAAAAAAGAACUUAAAAUAGAAAUUAUGAAAUGAUACUGCAAGUUUCUUUUUAGAAAAAAACGAAAAAGAAGUAGAGAAGUGACUAUUAUUUUAGAGAAAUAAAUUUCUAAUGCACCUAUUUAGAUAUAAGCAAAUUACUGUAUUUGGAUAGAGGGAAUGUGGCCUACUUCAUAGAAAUCCUCUCCUCUUUCAUCUAUCACUUUUAUUAUUUCUUUCAAUGACUAUUAACAUUGACCAAUUCCAAUCUUCAAAGGCAUGGCAUUGCACUCCUUCAACCCUGGUAGAAAUCUAAUUUCAAGAGCAUCAAGUUGAGGAAACCCAUUGGCAAAGCAUAUAAUCUUACUCUCAUCAUAUGUUAAACUCUCUAACUUCAGAAUCCUCAAACAAGGUAACUUUUCCAACACACCCAUUGGAUCAUGGAUCAUCAUAGAGUCAUCUAAAGUUAACUUGACAAUACUUGACGGAAGAAAUUCCAAAACAUGAUGGCUCUGAUGUGGAUCUUCUUUUAUAUGCCCUAUUAACUUCAAUUUGGAGAGGUGACGACACUAAUAAAGAGGUUCCAAUAUGAAGAAUGAGUUGACUUGUCAUGGUUCAUAUAGUCAAGCAAACACAUGUACAAUGACCCAAGGCGAUCCAAUAUGAUUAGCAACAGAAAGAUAGACUUAAUAUCUUUUGAACUCUUAAAUGUUAUUCCUAAACAUUGAAUACGAGUCAACCUAAGUGCCUCAUUAUUUUCAAUAAACUUCUUAUUUACCAUCAUGCGCUUCAAAGUUUCAAUAUUUUUUUGAAGAAAAGCUUUGGCACAGGAGAAAACAACUUUUUUAACAUGGGUAUGUAUACCAUUUCAUCACAAAUUGCCUUAAACAUUCCAACUUGAAUACUACAUUUGGAAUUACAGAGUCAUAAUGGCAUUAGAGGUACAAAGUGUGUAAAUUCUUCAACUAAUUUCCAAUAGCCCAUGGCAAGAGUAUUUUGAGUUUGCAUCUUAAGCUCAAAUGAUGGAGAUUACCAAUUUCACUUGACACAUGCAACUCCUCAACAUUCCUCGUAAGUUUCAAGAAAAGAAAAACUAACGUGAAAUUGAGAAAUUGAAAGGGAAAGUUUGAAACAAAAAGAAUCUACAGAGGUAGAAAAAAACUAGCAGCAAAUGUGAAAACAAAAGAAGAGUGGAAAAGAUGGGAAAGUGGGGAAGUUGGACAUGGGAUGGAGAAACGUGGGAGAAUUUUGGAGAAAUAUUUUUAAUUAAUUUUUUCUUAAAAAAAUAUUAUCCUAUAACCAACAUAAUUUUUUUGAUAACCUAUCUAUUUAUUCAUAAUUCAAAUUUAACUAAACCGGGAGCUCCAAAAAUAAUUUUUGCUUUACAGGGAUUCAAACACGAGAUUUCUAAGCAAGUUGAAACUUUAUUAUUAAACUACUAAAUUCAUUCUUAUUAAUAAUUAAGCAAAAAUAACAUAUUAGAAUAUAGGAAGUUGUUAAUUAGUUAUGAGUCUGGUAAGGUUGUUGUGAAGUAUAGACUGAAUAUUGACCCAAAUGCAAAUGGGGUUCCGUCGUCUAAUUUUGUUCAAGUUGAUCAAAGUGAUCCCGGCUCACCUGAACCGAUUGGCGUUGAUAGAGUUUUACGAUUUACCAAACCGCGUGCUCAGGUUUGACUGGGUUCGAACCAUGUAUUGGGCUUCCUCGGCUAGGGGACUUACAUGCAUCUGAGUAUUCCGAUCCUUCAGAAUCUGGCUCUCAUGUCAAUACUGCUCAACUUGGGUUUGGUACUAGUAAAGAUGACCCAUACGUUCCAGUGCAAGGUGGCACCACAACUUGGUAUCCUGACUCGGGAGCUAGUCAUCAUGUCUGUCGUGAUGUGUCAGCUUUACAUGAUGUCACACCAUAUUCAGGUACGUCAUCUCUUUUAAUGGGUGAUGGUACUCCUGCGGUAAUUUCGUCAAUUGGUACUGCUAUUUUACAUACUCAAUAUAAGUCGUUGCGAUUAUCAAAUGUCUUAUGUGUGCCAAGUAUACGGAAAAACCUCUUAUCCGUCUCACAGUUUGCUCGUGAUAAUGGUGUGUUUUUUUAGUUUCAUCCUAACCAUUGAGUUAUUAAGGAUACGGUGACUCGGGAGACAUUGCUGACGGGCCGCAUUCAUGAUGGACUUUAUCACUUUUCUGUGCCAGUGGGGUCUACUCCGUCUACGGUUGCUCCAUUUGUUGCUCAUUCGCAAGUUCCACAGUAGUUUCAAAUAAUAAUGUGUUUGCUUUAUGGCAUAAUCGUUUAGGCCACCCAUCAACUUCUGUGGUCAAAACAGUUUUAAAUAAAUGUAAUGUUGCUUCAAGUAAAAAUAGUUUGGAUGGUAUAUGUACUGCAUGUCAAAAAGGCAGGUCACAUAAGUUGCCCUUCUCCCCUUCGACUACUAGCUAUCGUCCUUUUGAGUUGGUUGUGUCUGAUCUUUGGGGUCCUGCACCUGUUGCAUGUGGUGAUAAAAGAUAUUAUGUUUCAUUUAUUGAUAUGAGUACUCGGUUUACUUGGGUUUAUCUUUUACGUCAAAAAGCUCAAGCACUAGAAUGCUUUACUCAGUUUCAACAGUUAAUUAAGACACAGUUUGGCAAGUCUAUUAAGCAGUUCCAGAGCGAUUGGGGAGGCGAAUACCGUGGUUUUACGUCUGUCUUAGAAUCUCAAGGAAUCAUACAUCGACUAACGUGUCCGUAUACUUCAGAACAAAAUGGAGUGGCUGAGCGUAAGCAUCGCCACAUUGUUGAAGUAGGUAUUACAUUGUUGGCUCACGAAAGUUUGCCUCUGGAAUACUGGGGGUAUGCGUUUUGCUGUGCAGUUCAUCUUAUAAAUCGACUUCCUACUGUUGUACUUCAAGACAGUUCUCCGUUUAAGGCACUAUAUGGACAUGAUCUGACCUAUGAUCAUCUUCGAGUGUUUGGCUGCUGUUGUUAUCCGUACUUACGUCCGUUUGUAAGGAAUAAAUUGGACUUUCGGUCUCAGCCGUCUACAUUGUUGGGAUACAGUCCUCGUCACAAGGGGUAUCAAUGUCUUUUACCAGAUGGUAAGGUUAUAAUAUCAAGGCAUGUGGUAUUUGAUGAACAGAGAUUUCUGUUUGCUGAGACUAUUCCAGACAAGUCUAUGUUGACGACCACUCAGACUAGUUCGACUACUGUUCCUUUCGUGUGGCCGUCUUAUUCCUCAACUCUUGAGCCUUGCAUGAUGACACAGUCUUUACAAGGGUUGCAAUCUCCGUCUGCUGAUCCUGCAUUAGGUGUUAAUUUAGAGCAGUCUCAGUCUCGUGAUUCUUCAGCUGAUAUCGGGACUGGGUCGGGUAAUCUCCCAGUUCAUGGUUCGUCAGCUAAUGAUGGGACUGAAUUGAGUGAUCCUCCAGCAGUGCAUGGCUCGGGAUCAUCAAGUGAUAAUUCUCAUUCUACUAUGAGAAUGUCUGCAGGUGUUUGAUCGGCAUCUGAUAGUCAGAUUAGUAGGCCACCUAUGGGUAAUACUUACCCAAUGGUCACUCGAGCUAAAGCGGGGGUUUACAAACCUAAGGUUUUAAAUGUUGAAGCUGUUGAACCGACUACGAUUGAAGAAGCUCUGGCUACUGUUGAGUGGCGCGAUGCUGCGCAAGCUGAGUAUGAUGCUCUUAUGUGUAAUUCCACAUGGGAGCUUGUUCCCACUCCGUCUAAUCGUAAGAUCAUUGGGUGCAAAUGGUUGUUCAGAAUCAAGAAGAAUUCUGAUGGUACUAUUGCUCGACAUAAGGCUCGUUUAGUCGCAAAAGGAUGCUCCUAAGUUCUAGGUUGUGACUUUAAGGAAACGUUUAGUCCAGUGGUCAAACCGGCUACUAUCAGAGUUAUUUUCUCUAUUGCUGUGUCUAAGUGGUGGUUGCUUCGGCAAGUUGAUGUGAAUAAUGCGUUUCUAAAUGGCGAUCUGGACACUGAAGUUUUUUUGCAUCAACCUCCUGGUUAUGUUCAAUAUGACUCACAUGGUAGACCUUUGGUGUGCCGUCUGAAGAAAGCGUUGUAUGGUCUUCGUCAGGCUCCUCGUGCCUGGUUUGAGAAGUUAAAAGGAUUUCUACUCUCUGUGGGGUUUGUGGUAUCAAAGUCUGAUGCUUCUUUGUUUGUUCGAGUGGUAUCAGCUUCAACAUUGUAUGUUUUGGUAUACGUUGAUGAUAUCAUUAUUACUGGUGAUGUGCCUUCUGUUAUAGAGUGGUUUGCUAAGUUGCUGAAUAAUAAGUUCUCACUUAAGGACAUGGGUGAUCUCCAUUAUUUUCUUGGGAUAGAGGUUACUCGUUCUUCCUCCGGUUGUCUUCAUCUAUGUCAGAAGAAGUAUAUUCGUGAUAUUCUCAUAAGGUGCUCGAUGGAAAAUGCGAAGAGUGUUCACACUCCGAUGAUUAGUUCCUCUAUCUUAACUAGAGAUGGUGGGGAACGUUUGGAGGAUCCAACUGAAUAUAGGAGUCUUGCAGGAGCAUUACAGUAUGUUACUCUUACGCGGCCUGACGUUGCGUAUGCUGUAAAUCGAAUAUGUCAGUUUAUGCAUUGUCCCACUUCCAUACAUAUGACCGCUCUGAAGCGGAUUUUGAGGUAUCUAGGUGGAACGAUUGAUUUUGGGAUUGUAUUUCGUCCGUCUACCUUUUUGUCAUUAGUUGGGUAUGCUGAUGCAAACUGGGGUUUAGAUUUUGAUGACCGGAGAUCUACUACUAGAUACUGUGUGUAUUUUGGACAUUCUCCUGUCUCGUGGUGUACGAAAAAAUAGCAGGUUGUUGCUUGGUCUACUGCUGAGGCAGAGUACCGAAGUCUUGCUGCAGUUACUAGUGAGGUUACGUGGCUUUUAUCGUUACUUCAAGAGUUGCAUGUUCAGUCUACUAGCAUUCCUGAUAUUUGGUGUGAUAGUUCUGGGGCGGUUGCAGUUGCUGCUAAUCCUGUUCUUCAUUCCAAGUUUAAGCACGUUGAGUUAGAUUUAUUUUUCGUUCGUGAAAAAGUAGCUAAUGGUAUUAUUGCUGUUGGCGAGGUUCUAGCUUGUGAUCAAGUUGUUGAUGUUCUUACUAAACCGCUUUCACUUUCGAAUUUUACUCGAUUUCGGAGUUUUCUACAGGUGUUACCUGUGGAGAAGAUGGAUGAAUAUUAGAAUAUAGGAAGUUGUUAAUUAGUUAUGAGUCUGGUAAGGUUGUUGUGAAGUUUAGACUAGUCAACAAAGUCUAUAAAUACUGUAAGUUGAGAAUUCAGAAGUAAGCAAUUUUGAAUACAAGAGAAAGAAAUUCAUUUUAUCCUCUCUUUUAUUUCUGUUUGGCUAGUUCUUUCAUAACAUAUAAUCGAAAUAUUCAAGGAUUGGGGACGGAACAAAAAAUAACAAAAAAUUUUUAAAAAAAAGAUUUGCCGUAACUUCUGUUUCAUCAGUAGGCUUGUCUCAUAUAUAUCAGAGUAAAACUGCUUACAAAUGUGAGGCUAAGAUUUUUACGUUUCAGAAACAUGUAUAUAUAAUGCUUCUUGGUUGGUCGAAAAUGAAGCAUAUAACACGGUUAUCUUAGUACAUAGAGUUCCCUGAAUUUACUACAUUUUGAUUUGUGUAACCUUAUUAAAACAAGUCUUCAAUAUCAGUUGCUACUUUGUUGUUAUUGUUUAUAGGAAGAAUAAAUUAUGUGAAACUCAACUUUCUUAAGCACACUAACUUUUGUGAAUUUAGAUUAAAAGGGAGUUUAGUUCACAAAAUAUUUGAUUAACUUGACAAUUAGUGCAUUACUAGAUAUGUUAAAGUACCGCGUUUGGUUCAAGGUAAAAGUUGAAAUAAUUCUAGACUCAAAGAUAUUUAAUUAUCGGUUUGUUCUUAGUAUAUAGUAAAUGAGUAAAAAGUUUUGAUUAAAAAAAACUUUAUGGAAUUAUUAAUAUAAUUGAUUAAACAGUUAAAAAUUUUAAAAUGAUUAAUGUCGACUCUUUUUAUAAAAUAUUCGGGUGGGGAUUGGUAUAAAUCUGUUAAAAAAAUUUAAUCAUCAUUCCACAUAAGUCAAGGUUAAUAUAAAUCUGUUUUAUAUAUUUUGUUAUAAGAAAACGCACAUAUUUUUGUUAUGUCAUAUAAAUAUACAUGUUAUAUGUUUUGAUUAACAUUGUAUCAUCUAAUUUUUAAUUGAAAUAGUGAGUUGUAAAUUUAAAUCGGUUAUUUUACUAUUUAAAUAAUGAAUUUAACCAUUUAACAUCUAAUGAGUUAUUUAGAAUUUCUUUCUUCGGUUUAAAUUGAUUAAUUUCAAUUAAAUAGAUGCAAAUGAAGAACCAAUUAAUAAGAAGAUAAUUUUUUAAAAAAAUAAGCAAAUUGGGAGGCCGGAAACGAGCCUUAGAUAUAUAGCAAACAAUCACUUCAUUCAAAGCUCAUGGUAUAUAGCAAUCCAAUUCUUAUAAAAAUACAUAUACACACUUAAUGAAAUUAGAUAUCUCGGGAAAGUGCAUUCUAGUGCUGAUUAGAUAACCUGCAUCAAGAAGAAAAAUGGUAUGUACAUAUCAUCAUCUCUUAUGUAUAAUAAUUAAAAAUAUGAAAUAAUAAAAUGAUACUAAAAUUUUAGUUUUUCUAGAAAAUGAUUCGAAAUUCUUAUUUUUUUAUAUUUUAAUUACAAUUUUUAUGGUAAUUAAAGAUAUAUUCAUCUAUUGUAUUAUUUUAUCAAUAUUAUAUUAAUCUCUAACUCUAUGGGUGAAAAAGAAAAGAAAAAAGAAUGUAAAAAUUAUUAUUUUAUAGAAAUAAAUACCUCACCUGAUGUUGGCUCCUAUUAUUUUGGCAUCAAAAAAUGUCGGAUGAAGGGAAUGUGGCGCACUUUAUAGAAUUCCUCUCCUUCUCUUCCAUCUAUCACUUUAAUCCUUUCUUUCAAUGACGAAGAUAUUCCUAUUAAAUUCAAUUUUUGGAGAGUAGUCAUGUAUCUCAAUCCUUCUGGAAGCAUCCUUAAACUCUCAACAUUGGCCAACGUCAAUUCUCGAAGGCAUGGCAUUGCACCUUCUUCUAUUUCCCACUCCUCCAACAUAAUUAACAUAAUUAAAAGAUAAUCAAGUUUAGGAAAUCCAUUUGCAGAGCACACCAUUUUACUCCCAAUAUAUGCUCCCUUCAAAAAGAGAAUCCUCAAAUGACAUAGCUUUUCUAAUACCGCCAUUGGAUCUUGUCUCAGCCCACAGUCAAACAAAGUUAAUUUGACAAUAUUUAAUGGAAGAAAUUUCAAAACAUGACCGUUCGGAUGUGGCUCUUCUUUUAUCGGACCCAGUAAUUUCAGUUUGGAGAGGUGAUAAUAUUGAGAAAGGGGUUCUAAGUCUAGGUGUGAGCAAUAAAAAAAACAUAAGGACACUGACCUAAGGCGUUGCAAUUUGGCUAGCAAGAUUAGGGUAGGCUUCACAUAUUCUGCUCUGGUAAAUUCUAUUCCUAAACUCUGAAUAUUAGUCCACCUAAGCACCGCAUUAUUUUCAGCCGCCUUCUCAUCCACCACUAUGAACUUCAAAGUUUCAAUAUUUUUUGAAGUGAACCCUUGCCGCCAACGAAAUCCAUCUACGUGGAAUUUCCCAACCGAUUUUAUUACAAUAUGCCUUAAACGUUCUAACUUAAACACACCAUCUGGAAUUACAAUGUCAUCACAAAACUUGAUGUAUAAAGUGUACAGAUUCUUCAACCUGCCAAUAGAUCGCGGCAAAAUCACUUUGUUAUUGUAGUAAAACUUCAAGUAUCUCAAAUGUUGGAGAUUACCAAUUUCAGUCGACACAUGCCACGGCUGAUUGCAGUCGCUCCUUUUUGCAAGAGUCAACACCCUUAAAAAUUUGAAGCUUUUGUAUUUUGAAAUGCACAAUUCUACCAAUAUCUCAGAAUGAGAAAACAACAAAGAGCGUAAUUUUGGAUGCUUUCCCUUCAAAUAAACUUUCGAUUCACUAGGAUGAGUAGAAAUUCUUCGUAGCAUAGAUUCUGCCAAUGUCACUUCAAGUUCAUGCAGUGGUUGUUGAAUAAUUUCCAAGAACUUCUCCUCUCUUGCUUUCUUCAUGCAAAAGUCCCUCAAGAGAUCAUGCACUCGACAUGUCUCCACAUUUGUUCCUGUAUAGUCUCGCGUGCUAACUUGAACCAAGCUCCUAUCUAUAAGCUCUUCUAGGAAUUUUUCGCCUAAAUCCUCCAUCAAGAAUUCUUCGUUUUCCGGAAUGAAACCUUCAGCGAUCCAUAAACGAAUGAGUUCUUUUUUCGGUAUCUCCCAAUCUUCUGGAUAAUGACUAAGAUACAAAAAGCAGGGUUUUAAAGGAUAAGGCAAGUCAUUGUAGCUUGAAACCAAAAUUCGGUUCACUGCACCAUAUUGACGAUCUUGGUGUGGGAGCUCAUUUAAGUGUCCAUGGAUGUUUUUAUGAACCAUCUCCCAUUGAGCCACGGACUGUUUUGUUGCCAGCAAGCAACCCAACACAACAAUUGCUAAAGGCAAGCCUCCACAUUUUUUCACCAUGUCUUUUCCAAGCUUCACAAAUUCUUCUGAGCAGCAUUGAGAACCCAUUUUGCUCCGUGGGAAUGCUUUCUUACACAAAAGAUUCCAACUUUCAUCAUCCGUAAGAAAUGAGAGCUCGAUGGGAGUGUUGCAAGAAUCGGCUCGUGAAGCCACAUUCCUGUUGCGUGUUGUGAACAAUAUUUUGCUUCCCUUUCUUCCUCGUGGAAAAGCAGGUUUAAGAAUAUCCCAGUCCUCGCUUCUCCAAAUAUCAUCGAGGACCACCAAAUACCGCUUUUCUUUCAAAGCAUCAAAAAGCGUUCUCGUCAGCUCAAUCUCGUCCAUUUUCUUAAUUUUCUCUCUAUCAUUGUUAGAAGGAGAGAGAAAUUUCUUCAAGACACUAAGCAAAACCUCUCUCGGCUUACAUUGUUGAGAGAUAGAAAACCAAGCCAAGAAAUCAAAAUGGCGUCUCACAUCAACAUGAUUAUAUACUUUUCUGGCAAGAGUAGUCUUACCGAGGCCCCCCAUGCCGACUAUGGAAACUACGGCGUGGGGUCUAUCUUCUUCAGUCAUCAAUUUGGUCAUGACAUCCUUGGUGCUAACCUCCAAGCUAACAACGUCCUCUUCCUCGACAUGUGAGUAUGCCCUUCUUAACCGUUGCUGCACCUUGAAAAUUGAGCUAGAGCCUUCUCCAUCACCGGGUAUCUCAAAAGCUGGAAGAUUCUCGGAAAUGUUUUGGAGCUCGGUCUUGAUUGCUUUGAGCUGCACCCCGAUUUUGUGCAGAUGAUAAGGUUUGGUGAAAAUGGAGGUGAAUCUCUUGACAAUCCCAUGAGAAUCUCGUUGAUAUGCUGCUUUAAGAAUAAAAGAGUCGAUGACAUCUUCAGCAUCAUAAGCAAGAUCUCUGAUUUCCGACACCCGAUUCUGGAAACGCGCAUCUUGUUCAAGAUUGCGAUCCGCGUCCUUCAAGAAACACUGCAUUCGCUUCAGUUCAGCCCUUAGACUCUCAACUUGAUCUUUCACAUCUUUGAGGAAAACAGCUUCAUGGAUGAGUAAAUCUGAAAUUCUUUCAACAGCUAAGGACACAAUAGCCUCUUCCAUUUCUCCUGCUGGUCCAGAACAGAUUCCACAAACUGAACUGCAAGUAUUAGUAGAAUAUUUUAUGUAUUAGUGGAGAAGUAUUUCUCUUUAUCAGAAGUUUUGAAGAGCUGUUUUUGGGGGUGAGGUUGGUAAUUAACUUAUUAUUAUUAUUAUGGAACGUAACUUUUUUUUAAAUAAAAUAACAUAUAUUAUCGAUAACCCUUGUUCUAAGUUGGUCAAAGUCCUUCUAACAUCGAUCUUGCUUCAAUUUUAAGUACUUCAUAUUUUCUUAAUGUCAUUGACUAACCACAUAACUAAUUACUAUUAGCAUCUUUAAUGAUUUCUUCAAUUACAACCGAAAUUGCACCAUCUGUAUUAAGCUUAACUAAAUCACUUUUUGAAGCUAAUCAUUUUGAAUCAAAAGCCAUAGAAUUCGAAUGGAACAUAGUCAUUGAGGGUGACGAAUAACUUCUCGUCUAACUAAUACCUGUAUCUACCUCAUCCUGAACAGAGCUAUGACUAUCAAAAAGUACAAACAUAUCCCUAUUUUUUUAUAAUAACCAACAUAUUUUUAUUGCUUAAUAGUAAUGUUUAUAUAUAAAAUAUAGAGUAAAUCAAAUUUAUUUUGCUAUCAAUAGAUGUUGAUUUAAUAAUGAAAAAUUCAUAACAAUUAUAAAAUAAUUUCUUCCAAUUAAAAAGCAAUUUUUAAAAAGGACUAAAAGAAAACUCGCUUGUUUUUUUUUUAUUCUUUUUAAGAAAGAAAAGGUUAGGUGUACACAAAAUUCCAAAAGCACAAUAGAUUUUCCACGUUGAAAACAAAAGCUGCUUUCAAUUUCCACAUUGGAUUCCACACAAAAUCGAUAAAGUAAAAUGGCAUGUGAAGAAAAAUUAUAAUCACUCACGUUAGUAGGCCAACCCUCAUAACAGUCAUUUCUCAUAACUGAUCUUAUAAGAGUGAGUUUAGAUGGGCGGUGCGUCUAUUUAUUAUUAGUGUAAAAAUAACGGUGGCGAUGAGAUUAAAUACUAUAGCAACAUUAUAGCGUGAGACAAAAAGUAGGUCAAACGCACCGUACCGCACCUAAUCGCCCAUCCAAACCCACCUUAAGACAAAAAAAAAGGGUUAAUUACUCGGGUAAAUUAUACUUAAGGUCACUAAAUUGUUAAUAAAUUUAUGUUUUGAUCAUUUAACUUUAAAAGUUUUAAAAUGAUUAUUGAACUAUUUGAAAGUUUUUAUUUUAGUCACUGAUCUAUUCAACAAUUUUAUUUAAGUCAUUAAACUAUUAGUUUUUUUUAAAAGUCUGAUUAGCUAGGUUAAAGUGACAAUUCGAUGAAUAGUACAAUAGAUCAGUACUUAUCCACGAGUAGAAUAACAUAUACUAGAUCAAGUCAAUUUGAUAGUUGGUGCCGAAGAACGGAAAGCAAAACUAUUUAAAUUUGGAUUCGUAGAUACGUGACAUUUGAAAUUGUUUUAUUAAAAAAAAACUUAAACUAUAGACAAGCAGGGGUAGAAGAGUUAGCGGGCAAACAAUGAAGGACAUAUAGUAGUGAUUUUAACAACUUAAUGACUUAAAGAAAACUUUUGAAUAAUUUAGUGACAAUUUUGUAACUUUUUAAUGUUAAAUGACUAAAACGUAAACUUACUAGUAGUUUAAUGACCUUGAAUGUAGUUUACUCCAAUUAUUUAUUAUUUUUACUGUGUUGUUUUUUAUGCAUUACCUAAAUUACCCAUCAAUAAACUUCACAAUUCCAAAAAGUGAAGGAUAGUACGCGUUUAUUAACGUUCAAACCCAUGUCCUUCAAUUCUUUUUUGCCCGGCCAAUAUAAAAUUUUAUCCAGAACGAAAGGACGACUUGGAAAACAACAGUACAAAGAAUGUUGAGAGAAAAUAACACAAUCACGAAUUUUUUUUAAUUUUAAUGGUGAAAAAGAGGGUUUUAAGAAGAGAAAUUUAUUUAUUUGAGGGAGUUCCAUAUAUAAUUUAAAUUUAGAAUUUCAAAAUUCAUAACAACUCAAUCUUAUCCGUGAAAAAAAAGUUGUGCAAUAAUUUUUACUUGGUUUGUUCCUACAAUAGUUAUAUUAGAGUUUAUCACGUAUGGAUCUGUGUUUGUUCUUCUUUUAGGGUGAGUUUAGAUGGACAGUAAAGUGCGGUGUAGCGGUGCAAUACGUUUAGUUUUUUUUUUUCUCACGUUAUAGUCUCGCUACAGUAUCUAAUCUCACUGCCAUUGCUAUUAUUACACUAACCGCAGGUAAAUGCACCGCCCAUCCAAACUCACCCUUAGUUUAUCACAUAUGCUCGUCCCUUUCCUUUCCCUUUUAUAGAUAGUACGAGGUGUUAUUGGUUCGAAUUGAGUUUAUAUUUAUUUAAAAUUGAUCCAGUUUAAAAACUUAUUUGCAUAUGUUAGUCUAUUUUAAACCUGUAAUUUUUAAAUAUAUAUUAUUCUUAAUUUAAUAUUUAAUAUUUCUAAUAAUAUUUUUUAUUAAAAUUGAAAUUUAUCAAUAUUUUUAUGUUUAAAUAAAAUUUAUAUAAAAGUCUAAAGUGGGUUGGGUUUAGAGGUGAUCAUGGGUUGGGCUACCCGGCCCGGCCCGAAGGUCUGCUCGAAAAAUAGGAGGGUUCGAGUAAAAAUAUAGGCCCGAAAUAUGAGUUUGGGCAAAAAAAGAGGCCCGUUUAGAAAACGGGUCAGGCCUCAGGUAAAACUAUUUUGGCCCGGGCCCGAAUCAUAUAUUAAAUAUAUAUAUAUUUUUAUUUUUAAUCAAAAAUACCUCUAAUUCUGGUUGGUUGAUUAUAUUUUGCAGGUUUUUGAUCUAUUUUGGUGUUGUAAAAUUUAAUAUGGGUUGGGCCAGGCCCGGUCCAUGAUCACCUCUAGUUAGGUUAGGUUUGAGAAAGUUGAAGCUUAACCAGAAUCUUUUUUUUUUUACUUUAGUCCAUUUUUCAGAUCUUAUUUUUUUUUUCUUUUGAGAAAUAAAAAAUAGAUGCCAUUAAACUUGAAAAUUAGAUACAACCUCUGCAUGGGUACCACUCAUCCUACUCUCCUACAUCCGUUAAUCGAUGGAGUAGUUCUUAAUUAAUGCAAAAGUUGCCUAAAAGAAACAAAGAGAAUAUAAAAGAAUCAAACCCUAAAAAUCAACUACAUGCUAAUUUUUAGAAAAAAAAAAACCUAUCAAUUUCUCCUUUAGCAAUCCACUCUUUCAUCUACCACAAUUGUGCCACCUUGAAAUGAUCUAUACUUUUAGUAUCCUUGAUGGAAAUUCUUGUAGAGAAAAGAAAUCGUUUUAUUCGUUUUUUUAUAUAUAAGAUGGACCUUUGAGCUUAAAUAAAUAAUUGAGAGGCUUUUUUUUAUAAAAAUAAUUCAAAGAUUUUGGUUAUUUAUGAAAUAAUUCAUUUUUUUAUUAAAUAUGUAAAUGAUAUAAAACCUACAGUAAAAGUUGGUGGAGUCAAAGAGUUUGGCGUCACCAACAUACCACGUCAGCAAUCGGGAUAAAAAAAUUUAUUUUUUUAGUAGAACCAUGUAGAGUAACAUCACCUGUAUAAAUACUAAAAAAAUACCGCUAUGUUUGAAAAAUUGGGGUACCUUAAAAGAAAAAACUUUUUUUCUGGUGAAGCUAAAUAAUUUUACGCUACCAAUUUCUAAAAUUACCUGCGUCAUCCAUUUUUAAAAUGUAGUUAUAUAUUUUAUGUCAUUUAUGUAUUUAAUAAAAAUAAGUAAUCGAAUUUUUUUUGAUUAUUUUUAUAAAAAAAGCCUUAAUAGAUAAUUCAUCAAUUACCCAAUCAAUCAAACUAUUAAUCAAACAAGACAGGUUUUAGCUUCACUCGGAAAAGCCACAGUCCACUCCCGUAGAGCAGCCAAAACAUAUUUAAUUAUUCAAAAGCCGUGUGCCGUUCGACUAAAACAAAAUUCCAAAUCAAGAAGCAAUUUUUUAAAAUAAAAACAAAAUUGCUUUUAGAAAAAGCUUUAGGUGGACACAAAAUUCCAAAAGCGCCAACACAUUUUCCACACAUUGGGAAUAAAACUUGUUUGCAAUUCAUAAUUGAUAGGAUACGACCAAAAGAAAAUAAAGAUAAUUAUUUGGAUAAAUUAUACUCAACCUCACUAAACUAUUAACAAAUUUAUAUUUUAAUUAUUUAACUUUAAAAAAUUAUAAGAUAAUUAUUAAACUAUUCAAUAGUUUUUAUUUAAGUCAUUGAACUAUUAAGGUUUUUUUUUAAAAAGUAGUUUGACUAGCUAGGUUCAAGCAACAAUUCAAUGAACAGUACAAUAGAUCAAUACUCAUUAACGAGUAUGUCGAAACCGCCUUUUCGAAAAUAAAAAUUUAGUUGUCGACUUUAAAAAUAAAAACUGAAGUUGCCACCGAUCCUUGAUUGAGGUGCGAUCGGUUCACCUUAAAAACAAUUUCGGCCUGCGAAAUUUGAGAAAACAAGUUCGGGAGUCAGUUACGCACGAGGAAGAGUUAGCACCCUUGUAACGCCCAAAAUCGGUACCAAAUUGAUUAUUUAAUAUCUUGGUGUCGAAAAUUUAAAAAGAUUUUAAAAUCAACUCAAAUGAUGAAAUUUGAAAAAGGAUAAUCAAUUGUUCAAGUCAUGUAAAGAAAUCGAGUCCCAAUACGUUAGGGUACAAUUCCUCAUAAUCCCCGAACUUUGAAUAUCACUUUUAUUUUAUGUAAAAAUCUUCAUUUUGAGAAAGUAAUAUGUCACACCCAAUACGUUAGGACACAACAAAUUAAGUUCCCGAAAAUAAUUUUUUAUACUCAUGCAUUUUGAAUAAAGAAUAUUCUCAGCUAUUUAAGAUAAACAAAGAAAAUCGGAACCCAAUACGUUAGGACUCAAUUUCCUAGAAAAUCCCAAACUUUGAAUAUUCCUUUAUUUAGGAAAAAAAACUUUGAAUCACGGGUAAAACUUUGAUGUAUUGUCAAAUCCAAAAUAUAUUUUCUAAAGGAUAUGUUAAAAAGUUGAUGUACAAUAUGAAACAAAACUUUAGUUUAAAAACAUAUGUGAAUAAAUAUCUGCAAAAUAUAUACAUACAAGUACAAUAUACAAGUAAAUUUGCAAAUGUGUGUACACAUAUAUUUAACACACAUAUACAAGGAUACCUAUAAAAAAUGGAAUGGAAUAUAUCAAUCAAAGACUAAUAAAAAAAUGCAUGUAUGUAUUUAAAAAUCGAAAAUAAACAAAAAGUAUGUAUAUGUAUAUGUAUAUAUAUUUACAAAAUAAAAAUGUAUAAGUAUAUAUGUGUUGGAAAAUCAUGAAAAUACGUAUAUGUAUAUUAAAACACUUAUAUAUAUAUAUGUAUAAUAAGUAUAUAAAUAAUGGGAUAUGUAUAGGAUAAUAUAUAUUUAUAAAAAAUGUGUAUUUUGAAUCGUAAAAUAUGGGAAACACGUGCAUUUUGAAAGGGAACGUUUGAAACAAAAAGAAUCAACAGAGGUAGAAAAAAACUAGCAGCAACAAAACUAAUGUGAAAACAAAAGAAGAGUGGAAAAGAUGGGAAAGUGGGGAAGUUGGACAUAUGGGAUGGAGAGACGUGGGAGAAUUUUGGAGAAAUAUUUUUAAUUAAUUUUUUCUUAAAAAAAUAUUAUCCUAACCAACAUAAUUUUUUUGAUAACCUAUCAAUUUAUUCAUAAUUCGAAUUUAACUAAACCGCUAACACAUGGGCAGCACACUUAGGGAGUUCCAAAAUUAAUUUUUGCUUUACAGGGAUUCAAACACGAGAUCUCUAAGCAAGCUGAAACUUUAUUAUUAAACUAGUAAAUUCAUUCUUAUUAAUAAUUAAGCAAAAAAUAUAUAUAAUUUAAAUAUUCAAGGAUAGGGGAUGGAACAAAAAUAAAAAAUUAAAAAAAAAAAGAUUUGCCUUAACUUUUGUUUCAUCAGUAGGCUUGUCUCAUAUCAGAGGAAAACUGCUUACAAAUGUGAGGCUAAGAUUUUUACGUUUCAGAAACAUGUAUAUAAAUGCUUCUCGGUUGGUCGAAAAUGAAGCAUAUAACACGGUUAUCUUAGUACAUAGAGUUCCCUGAAUUUACUACAUUUCGAUUUGUGUAACCUUAUUACAAAAACAAGUCUUCAAUAUGAGUCCCUACUUUGUUGUUAUUGUUUAUAGGAAGAAUAAAUUAUGUGAAACUCAACUUUCUUAAGCACCCUAACUUUUGUGAAUUUAGAUUAAAAGGGAGUUUAGUUCACAAAAUGUUUGAUUAACCUGACAAUUAGUGCAUUACUAGAUAUGUUACAGUACCGCGUUUGGUUCAAGGUAAAAGUUGAAAUAAUUCUAGACUCAAAGAUAUUUGAUUAUGGGUUUGUUCUUAGUAUAUAGUAAAUGAGUAAAAAGUUUUGAUUAAAAAAACUUUAUGGAAUUAUUAAUAUCAUUAAUUAAACAGUUAAAAAUUUUAAAAUGAUUAAUGUCGACUCUUUUUAUAAAAUAUUCGGGUGGGGAUUAGUAUAAAUCUGUUAAAAAAUUUUAAUCAUCAUUCCACAUAAGCCAAGAUUAGUAUAAAUCUGUUUUAUACAUUUUGUUAUAAGAAAUCGUACAUAUUUUUGUUAUGUCAUAUAAAAGUAUACAUGUUAUAUGUUUUGAUUGACAUUGUAUCAUCUAAUUUUUAAUAGAAAUAGUGAGUUUAAAAUUUAAAGGGGUUAUUUUACUAUUUAAAUAAUGAAUUUAACCAUUUAACAUCUAUUGAGUUAUUUAGAAUUUCUUUCUUCGGUUUAAAUUGAUUAAUUUCAAUCAAAUAGAUGCAAAUGAAGAACCAAUUAAUAAGAAGAUAAAAUUUUGAAAAAAUAAGCAAAUUGGGAGGCCGGAAGCCAGCAUUAGAUAUAUAGCAAACAAUCACUUCAUUCAAAGCUCAUACUAUAUGGCAAUCCAAUUCUUAUAAAAAAUACAUACACACACUUAAUGAAAUUAGAUAUCUGGGCAAAGUGCAUUCCAUAGCUGAUUUGGUAAACCUACAUCAAGAAAAAAAAUGGUAUGUAUAUAUCAUCAUCUCUUAUGUAUAAUAAUUAAAAAUAUGAAAUCAUAAAAUGAUAUUAAAAAUUUAGUUUUUCUAGAAAUAUAUUCAAAAUUCUUAUUUUUUUUAUAUUUUAAUUAUAAUUUUUAUGGUAAUUAAAGAUAUAUUCUUCUAUUCCGUUAUUUUAUCAAUAUUAUAUCAAUCUCUAACUCUAUGGGUGAAAAAGAAAAGAAAAAAGAAUGUAAAAAUUAUUAUUUUAUAGAAAUAAAUACCUCACGUGAUGUUGGCUCCUAUUAUUUUGGAAUAAAUAAUGUGGAUAGAGGGAAUGUGGCGCACUUUAUAGAAUUCCUCUCCUUCUCUUCCAUCUAUCCCUUUAAUCCUUUCUUCCAACGACGAAGACAUUCCUCUUAAAUUCAAUUCUUGGAGAGUAGUAAUGUAGCUCAAUCCUUCUGGAAGCAUCCUUAAACUCUUAAUAUAGACCAACUCCAAUUCUCGAAGGCAUGGCAUUGCACCUUCUUCUAUUACCCACUCCUUCAACUGAGGUAAGCACCACAUAUGAAGAUAAUCAAGUUUAGGAAAUCCAUUUGCAGAGCACACCAUUUUACUCCCAAUAUAUGCGUCCUUCAAAUAGAGAAUCCUCAAAUGACAUAGCUUUUCUAAUACCGCAAUUGGAUCUUGUAUGAGCUUACAGUAAAACAAAGUUAAUUUGACAAUAUUUGAUGGAAGAAAGUUCAAAACAUGACCGUUCGGAUGUGGCUCAUCUUCUAUCCCACCCACUAGUUUCAGUUUGGAGAGGUGAUAAUAUUGAGAAAGGGGUUCUAAGUCUAGGUGUGAGACAUCAAAAAAACAUAAGGAUACUGACCUAAGGCGUUGCAAUUUGGCUAGCAAGAUUAGGGUAGGCUUCACAUAUUCUGCUCCGGUAAAUGCUAUUCCUAAACUCUGAAUAUUAGUCCACCUAAGCACCGCAUUAUUUUCAGCCGCCUUCUCAUCCACCUCUAUGAACUUCAAAGUUUCAAUAUUUUUUGAACUGAACCCUUGCCGCCAACGAAAUCCAUUUUCGGACAAUAGCUCAUUAUCCAUUUUUAUUACAAUAUGCCUUAAACGUUCUAACUUAAACACACCAUCUGGAAUUACAAUGUCAUCACAAAACUUGAUGUAUAAAGUGUACAGAUUCUUCAACCUGCCAAUAGAUCCAGGCAAAAUCACUUUGUUGUUGUAGUAAAACUUCAAGUAUCUCAAAUGUUGGAGAUUACCAAUUUCAGUCGACACAUGCCACCCGUAGUUGCUCCUUUUUGCAAGAGUCAACACCCUUAAAAAUUUGAAGCUUUUGUAUUUUGAAAUGCACAAUUCUACCAAUUUCUCGGAAUGAGAAAACAACAAAGAGCGUAAUUUUGGAUGCUUUCCCUUCAAAUAAACUUUCGAUUUACUAGGAUGAAUAGAAAUCCUUCGUAGCAUAGAUUCUGCCAAUGUCACUUCAAGUUCAUGCAGUGGUUGUUGAAUAAUUUCCAAGAACUUCUCUUCUCUUGCUUUCUUCAUGCACAAGUCCCUCAAGAGAUCAUGCACUCGACAUGUCUUCACAUUUGUUCCUGUAUAGUCUCGCCUGCUAACUUGAACCAAGCUCCUAUCUAUAAGCUCUUCUAGGAAUUUUUCCCCUAAAUCCUCCAUCAAGAAUUCUUCGUUUUCCGGAAUGAAACCUUCAGCGAUCCAUAAACGAAUGAGUUCUUUUUUCGGUAUCUCCCAAUCUUCUGGAUAAUGACUAAGAUACAAAAAGCAGGGUUUUAAAGGAUAAGGCAAGUCAUUGUAGCUUGAAACCAAAAUUCGGUUCACUGCACCAUAUUGACGAUCUUGGUGUGGGAGCUCAUUUAAGUGUCCAUGGAUGUUUUUAUGAACCAUCUCCCACUGAGCCACUGACUGUUUUGUUGCCAGCAAGCAACCCAACACAACAAUUGCUAAAGGCAAGCCUCCACAUUUUUUCACCAUCUCUUUUCCAAGCUUCACAAAUUCUUCUGAGCAGCAUUGAGAACCCAUUUUGCUCCGUGGGAAUGCUUUCUUACACAGAAGAUUCCAACUUUCAUCAUCCGUAAGAAAUGAGAGCUCGAUGGGAGUGUUGCAAGAAUCGGCUCGUGAAGCCACAUUCCUGUUGCGUGUUGUGAACAAUAUUUUGCUUCCCUUUCUUCCUCGUGGAAAAGCAGGUUUAAGAAUAUCCCAAUCCUCGCUUCUCCAAAUAUCAUCGAGGACCACCAAAUACCGCUUUUCUUUCAAAGCAUCAAAAAGCGUUCUCGUCAGCUCAAUCUCGUCCAUUUUCUCAAUUUUCUCCCUAUCAUUGUUAGAAGGAGAGAGAACUUUCUUCAAGACACUAAGCAAAACCUCUCUCGGCUUACAUUGUUGAGAGAUAGAAAACCAAGCCAAGAAAUCAAAAUGGCGUCUCACAUCAACAUGAUUAUAUACUUUUCUGGCAAGAGUAGUCUUACGGAGGCCCCCCAUGCCGACUAUGGAAACUACGGCGUGGGGUCUAUCUUCUUCAGUCAUCAAUUUGGUCAUGACAUCCUUGGUGCUAACCUCCAAGCUAACAACGUCCUCUUCCUCGACAUGUGAGUAUGCCCUUCUUAACCGUUGCUGCACCUUGAAAAUUGAGCUAGAGCCUUCUCCAUCACCGGGUAUCUCAAAAGCUGGAAGAUUCUCGGAAAUGUUUUGGAGCUCGGUCUUGAUUGCUUUGACCUGCACCCCGAUUUUGUGCAGAUGAUAAGGUUUGGUGAAAAUGGAGGUGAACCUCUUGACAAUCCCAUGAGAAUCUCGUUGAUAUGCUGCUUUAAGAAUAAAAGAGUCGAUGACAUCUUCAGCAUCAUAAGCAAGAUCUCUGAUUUCCGACACCCGAUUCUGUAAACGCGCAUCUUGUUCAAGAUUGCGAUCCGCGUCCUUCAAGAAACACUGCGUUCGCUUCAGUUCAGCCCUUAGGCUCUCAACUUGAUCUUUCACAUCUUUGAGGAAAACAGCUUCAUGGAUGAGUAAAUCUGAAAUUCUUUCAACAGCUAAGGACACAAUAGCCUCUUCCAUUUCUCCUGCUCGUCCAGAACAGAUUCCACAAACUGAUCUGCAAGUAUUAGUAGAUUAUUUUAUGUAUUAGUGGUGGAAGUAUUUCUCUUCAUCAGAAGUUUUGGAGAUUUAUUUUUGGGGGUGAGGUUGAUAGUUAUUUUUCUUUGGACAGUAAAUAGCUGAACAUAUUAUUAUUAUGAUUAUUAUUAUUAUUAUUAUUAUUAAUGUGAAGAAAACGUAAGGUAAAGUUAUCAUCACUGACAUUAUAAAAUUAUUAUAAAAUUAAUAGGCCAACCUCAAUUCAAUUCUUCCAAAAAAAUAUUAUUCAAAUAUUCAAAAGUUUUUAUUUAAGUUACUAAAUUAUUUAAAAAAUUUUAUUUAAAUAAUUGAACUAUUAAGUCUGUUGACACCAUUUUUUUGAUGAAAACGGGGUCAACUUGGGUUUUAAAAAGUGAAAAUGAAAACGGGAAUCGCCACAAAUCCUUUUUGAUAAGGUGUGAUCCGGUCACCUUGAAAAGUGGUUGUAUUUAAUAAACGAUUUGACUUUAUUAAAACAACGAUUUUGGUCCACAAAAUUUAGAAAAACAGGUUUGAGAGUCGGUUAUGCACGAGGAAAUAUUAGCACCCUCGAUACGCCCAAAAUUGGUACCUAGUUGAUUACUUAUGUCUUAGUGUCGAAAAAUUGAAAACUUUAAAGAGAUUUAAAAUACGAUCCUAAAAAACUUGAAUGACAUGGAUUAAGAUUUAAGAGUAUAUUUGGCUAUUUGGUCCAACGAGAAAUCGAAACCCAGCACAUUAGGGCACGUUUUCUCGAAGUUCCAAACGCAAAACAUUGCCUUAUUUUGAAAUUAUUAAAAGGAUAUUUGGAUAUUUGGUCAAACGAGAAAAUCGAAACCCAACACAUUAGGGCACAUUUUCUCAAAUCUCCAAGCGCAAAACAUUACCUUACUUUGAAAAUUUAAAAGGAUAUUUAGCUAUUUGGUCGAACGAAAAAAGUCGAAACCCAGCACAUUAGGGCACGUUUCUCAAAUCUCCAAACGCAAAAUAUUACCUUACUUUGAAAAUUUAAAAGGAUAUUUAGCUAUUUGGUCGAACGAAAAAAAUCGAAACCCAGCACAUUAGGGCACGUUUUCUCAAAUCUCCAAACUCAAAAUAUUACCUUACUUUGAAAAUUUAAAAGGAUAUUUAGCUAUUUGGUCGAACGAAAAAAAUCGAAACCCAGCACAUUAGGGCACGUUGUCUCGAAUUUCCAAAUGCAAAACAUUGCCUUUAUUAUUUUUUAGAAAAAUCCUCAUCCCGAGAAAACAACGUGUCAUAUCCAAUGCGUUAGGACACAACGUAUUGAAUUCCCGAUAAUGAGCUUUUUAUUUAUGUUUUUAAAAGAGUAACCUCGAUUAUUUAGAUUCAACGAAGAAAAUCAGAACCCAAUACGUUGGGGCUCGAUUCUCUCGAAGAUCCCAAAUAUCGAGUAUUACUUAUGUUUUGAAGUUUUUCAUUUUUUUGUCAAACCCGAGUGAAAAUGGAUGUAAAACCAUGAUAAUGAUGAUAAUGUAAAUAAAUAACACGAGCGAAACAAAAGAUAAUUAAAUAAUAAAUGUAAAAACAAUUGUGCAGGCAUAAUAGCAAAUAAUAAACAGAUAAAAACUAAAGCAUGAAAAAAUAAUAGUAACGGACAUGUAAAUAAUUGAGCAAAGUUAACAACAUUAUAAAAAUAUAAAAGAUAUAUAUAUACAUAUAAAAUUAUGAAAAUAUGAAAAACAUAUGCAUGUAUACAUAUUUUAAAAUUAUUAUACAUGAAAAAUUAUGUAAAUAUGUAUGUGCAUACAUACAUACGUAUAUAACAAUUAUCAACUAUAAGAAAGUAUAUAUAUAUAUAGGUACGUACAUAUAUAUAAUAAAUAUAUAUAUACAUAUGGUUACAAAAAUAAGAAUAAGACAUGUAUAUAUAUACUCCAGGUUUAUAAAAUAUAAGAGUAUGUAAAUAUGUAUAUAUAUGCGUAUGAAAAUAAAGCUAACAGAACAGUAAUAGAAACUAGUUAAUGUAUUAAUAAAAUUGUAACGACUAAAUGAAAGGGAAAUAAAACUAAUAAAAAUUGAUGAUAAUAAUAAUAAUAAAUGAUAAUAACAUUAAAAUAAUGAACAAAAUAAUAAAAUUGCUACAAAAGGGACUAAAUUGAAAUGAAACAAAAAAACAGGGCGAAUUCGAAAUAAAAAGACUAAAAAGACUAAAUUGUGACACGCGCGGAAAGAGGGGGACCAAAAUGGUAAAUAAACCAAACCUCCAAAAAUGCGGCACUGCAGUGGACUAAAAUGAGACCAAAAUAAAACUUUGUGGCUAAAUUAAAAUAAAAAAAAUAAUGAAAAAGGGUCAAAUUGCAACGCGCUGCAAAGUUGGAAGGACUGCGCGCGGAAAUAUCCCAUUUGAAAAAAACGUGGAUCCUUGGCAGAGCGGGUCGGGUCUCGAGUCGGAUGGUACAAAACGAUGCCGUUUUGGCGUUUUAAAGGGCUGAGCAAAACGACGUCGUUUUGCUCCCCUAUUUAAACUAAUUUUUUUCAAAAAAAUUCAUUCUUCUCUCUUCUUGGCAAAAAAAAAAAAUCUCAAACACUCUCAACUCCCCUCCCCCUCUCCAGGCACCGGCCUCAGGUCCGGUGAAAGGAUCGUCGUCUGUCGCCGGCGAAGGGGCAAAAGAGUUUUUUUUUUAUUAAUGCAGGCGGUGUGAGCAAUGAAUGCCAUGUAACAUUGAUUUUAACAACUCAAUAACUUAAAUAAAAAUAUUCAAUAGUUUAGUGGUCAUUUUGUAAUUUUUUGAAGUUAAUUGACCAAAACGUAAACUUACUAGUAGUUCAGUGACCUUUGGAAUAGUUUACUCCAAUUAUUUAUUAUUUUCUGUGUUAUUUUUAUACAAUACCUGAAUUACCCAUAAAUAAACUUCACAAUUUUUAAAGUGGAAGAUAUUAGGCUAUUCUUUUUACUCAGCCAAUAUAAAAUUUUAUCAAGAAUGAAAGGACCACUUAGAAAAAUUUGAGAGAAAAUUGAUGAGUGAAAGAAAAUAAAACAAGCAGGGAUGUUUGAGUUUUAAUGGUGAUUUUCUUAAGAAGAGAAAUUUAUUUAUUUGAGGAGGAUAGAUACAUAAUUUACAUAAAAUAAGAUUCAAACUUAAACUUAAAAUUUCAAAAUUUAUAAAAUUAUUUUAAAAUUUACAUAAAAUAAGAUUCAAUUCAAUUCUUCCAAAUUAGUAUAAAAUUACAAAAUAUUUAAUCAUUCAAAGGCAAUUUUUAAAAUAAAAAAGCAAAAUUGCUUUAAAAAAAUGCUUUAGGUGGACACAAAAAGCAAUGGGUGUCAAAAUUCCAAAAGCGUCAACUGAUUUUCCACACAUUGGAAGUAAAAGUUGUUUGCAAUUUCAUUUCGUCCAAAUGACAACUACUUGAACACCCAGCAGUCGUUGCUCAUAAUUGAUAGGAUAAGACCAAAAGAAAAAAAAAUAAUUGUUUGGAUAAAUUAUACUCAAGUUCAUUAAACUAUUAAUAAAUUUAUAUUUUAAAUAUUUAAUUUAGAAAAAUUAUAGUUAUUAAACUAUUCAAUAGUUUUCUUUUAAGUCAUUAAACUAUUUAGAAGUUUUUGUUUAAGUCAUUGAACUAUUAAGUUCUUUUUUUUUAAAAAAAAGAGGCAGUUUGGCUAGCGAGGUUCAAGCGACAAUUUGAUGAACAGUACUAUGAAUCAAUACUCAUCAACGAAUAAAAGAACAUAUAUUAGAUCAUGUCAAUCUAAUGGUCGGUAUCCAAGAACAGAGGAGAGCUGUUUGGAUUUUAACACUGUUAUCUUAGUACAUAGAGUUUCCUGAAUUUACUACAUUUUGAUUUGUGUAACCUUAUUAAAACAAGUCUUCAAUAGAAAGUUGAGUCGCUACUUUGUUCUUAUUGUUUAUAGGAGGAAUAAAUUUCUUAAGCACACAAACUUUUGUGAAUUUAGAUUAAAAAGGGAGUUUAGUUCACAAAAUGUUUGAUUAACCCGACAAUUAGCGCAUUACUAGAUAUGUUACAGUACCGUGUUUGGUUCAAGAUAAAGUUGAAAUAAUUCUAGACUCAAAGAUAUUUAAUUAUUGGUUUGUUCUUAGUAAAUAGUAAAUGAGUAAAAAGUAUUUAAUACUUUAUGAUGAUUUUGACUAAAAAAACUUUAUGGAAUGAUUAAUAUCAUUGAUUAAACGGUUAAAAGUUUCAAAAUAAUUAAUGUCGACUCUUUUUAUAAAAUAUUCGGGUGGGAUGGGCGUCUUAUAGUUUGAACUUGUGUCAAAUGGGUACCUGAUAAAAAAUUUAAUCAUCACUCCAUAUAAGUCAAGAUUAAUAUAACUCUUUUUUAUAAAUUUUGUUACAAGAAAUCGUACAUAUUUUUGUCAUGUCAUAUAAAAGUAUACAUGUUAUAUGUUUUUGUAUCAUCUUACUUUUAAUUGAAAUAGUGAGUUGUAAAUUUAAAGGGGUUGUUUUACAAUUUAAAUAAUGAAUUUAACCAUUUAACAUCUAAUGAGUUAUUUAGAAUUUCUUUCUUUGAUUUAAAUUAGAUUAAUUUCAAUCAAAUAGAUGCAAAUGAAAAAACCAAUUAAUAAGAAGAUAAAUUUUUAGAAAAAUAAGCAAAUUGGGAGGCCAGAAGCGAGCAUUAGAUAUAUAACAAACAAUCACUUCAGUCAAAGCUCAUAGUAUAUAGCAAUCCAAUUCUUAUAAAAAAUACAUACACACACUUAAUGAAAUUAGAUAUCUCGGCAAAGUGCAUUCCAGUUGAUAAACUAUAAAAGUAACAUAUUUUAAUCCCAUUCUUAAUGUGUUGGAUGAUUUAUUAUUUAAUUUAGUGAAUUUGAUGCUCCUAAUCAUUUAAUUUCAUGUUUCUAUACUUAUGUGAGCAUAGGGGAACAAAAGGAGCGGAAAACGGGCCAAAAACGAACAAAACAGACCGAUUUAAGGAUCCACAUGGCUAAGACCAUUUCUGCACGGGCUGACCACACGCCCGUGUGUGCCACACGGGCUUGCCACACGCCCAUGUGCCAGCCCGUGUCGAAUUUGCUCCUUAUUUCCCAAACACGCAGAAAAUGCCAAUUUUUAGGGUUUCUAAGCAUUCUAAAGUCUAUAAAUACACACUAGAAGAGGACCUAAGGGGCACGCAAAGCUGAACGAAGAAAAGACUUGAAGAAUGCUAGUGGGUUCAACUCAGAAGUAGGAUCUCCUUCAAGACUGAAGAUCUCCAUUCAAUUUCUCUCGAAGUUUUUGGGUUUCUUUAUGUUUUCUUGUUUUCCUAAUUUUGAGAUGUUUUCCUCCCCAAGUAUGAACUAAAUUCCCUAGACAUCUAGGGAGGAUGAAACCUAAGGCUGAACUUAUUAUUUGAUUUUUCUGAAUUACAUGAUAAAUAUUUGUCCUUGAUCUCAAUUAUGUGUUCUUAUUUCAUGUUUUAAUGUUUUCAAGAUAUUAGUUCAUGAUUGGUGUGCUUAUUCAGUGGAGCAAAAGUCCCUAUUUAAGAGUAGAUCUAGCAUAAUUGAAUAGAGUUGCAUGCAAUCCUAGAAAUAGGACGACAUAAACCUAUCGAAUUAGAGUCAAAUCUAAUAGGAGAAUCCAUAGAUCGGAUUAGAGUCAAACCUAAUAGGAGAAUCCAUAGAUCGAGUUAAUACGAUAAUAGGGGUUUUAAUUAGAAAGAGAUUUCAAUUAAUCAACAUAGAGUUAGUUGUUUUUAUUCUCGAAACAGAUAUUAACAAAAGUUAGGGAUUUCUACAGAUCAAGACAAGUGAAUAAAUCGUUUAAUUCAGAUUUAGAAUAAUAAAAUAUUCGGGUGGGAUGGGCGUCUUAUAGUUUGAACUUGUGUCAAAUGAGUACCUGAUAAAAAAUUUAAUCAUCACUCCAUAUAAGUCAAUAUUAGUAUAACUCUGUUUUAUACAUUUUGUUACAAGAAAUCGUACAUAUUUUUGUCAUGUCAUAUAAAAGUAUACAUGUUAUAUGUCUUUUUAUAAAAUAUAUGGUAUUUAAUACUUUAUAAUGAUUUUGAUUAAAAAAACUUUAUGGAAUGAUUAAUAUCAUUGAUUAAACGGUUAAAAGUUUCAAAAUGAUUAAUGUUGACUCUUUUUAUAUAAUAUUCGGGUGGGGAUGGGAGUCAUAUAGUUUGAACUUGUGUUAAAUGGGUACUUGAUAAAAAAGUUUAAUCAUCAUUCCACAUAAGCCAAGAUUAGUAUAAAUCUGUUUUAUACAUUUUGUUAUAAGAAAUCGUACAUAUUUUUGUUAUGUCAUAUAAAAGUAUACAUGUUAUAUAUUUUGAUUGACAUUGAAUCAUCUAAUUUUUAAUAGAAAUAGUGAGUUGUAAAUUUAAAGGGGUUAUUUUACUACUUAAAUAAUGAAUUUAACCAUUUAACAUCUAAUGAGUUACUUAGAAUUUCUUUCUUUGUUUUAUAUUGAUUAAUUUCAAUCAAAUAGAUGUAAAUGACCAAUUAAUAAGAAGAUAAAUUUUUGAAAAAAUAAGCAAAUUGGGAGGCCGGAAGCCAGCAUUAGAUAUAUAGCAAACACACAAUGAAAUUAGAUGUCUCGGCAAAGUGCAUUCCAGCGCUGAUUAGGUAAACCUACAUCAAGAAAAAAAAUGGUAUGUAUAUAUCAUCAUCUCUCAUGUAUAAUAAUUAAAAAUAUGAAAUAAUAAAAUGAUAUUAAAAAUUUAGUUUUUCUAGAAAAAUAUUCAAAAUUCUUAUUUUUUUAUAUUUUAAUUAUAAUUUUUAUGGUAAUUGAAGAUAUAUUCUUCUAUUAUGUUAUUUUAUCAAUAUUAUAUCAAUCUCUAACUCUAUGGGUGAAAAAGAAAAGAAAAAAGAAUGUAAAAAUUAUUAUUUUAUAGAAAUAAAUACCUCACGUGAUGUUGGCCCUUGGGAUCGGAUUAAUAAUGUGGAUGGAGGGAAUGUGGCGCACUUUAUAGAAAUCCUCUCCUUCUUUUCCAUCUAUCACUUCAAUCCUUUCUUUCAAUGACGAAGAUAUUCCUAACAUUAAAUUCAAUUCUUGGAGAGUAGUAAUGUACCUCAAUCCUUCUGGAAGCAUUCUUAAACUCUUAACAUGGAUCAACUCCAAUUCUCGAAGGCAUGGCAUUGCACCUUCUUCUAUUUCCCACUCCUCCAGCUUUCUUAAAAUCAUUCCAAGAAAAUCAAGUUUAGGAAAUCCAUUUGCAGAGCACACCAUUUUACUCCCAAUAUAUGCUCCCUCCAAAUAGAGAAUCCUCAAAUGACAUAGCUUUUCUAAUACCGCCAUUGGAUCUUGUCUCAGCUCAUUAUCAAAGUUAAUUUGACAAUAUUUGAUGGAAGAAAUUUCAAAACAUGACCGUUCGGAUGUGUCUCAUCUUCUAUCCGACCC
rnacentral:lncRNA from 1 species